ACAAAAACAACCGAGAGAAGAAAACAUGGCUCGCUGUUUUAGAUCACUACUCAUAGCAAUAACAUCCCUGUGGAUGUUAUCUUCAGUACUGAUCAGGUCUUCCGAUGCUGCUGGAAUUGCCACCUACUGGGGCCAACACACCGACGAAGGAAGCCUGGAAGACGCAUGCCGGAGAAAUACCUACGACUACGUGAAUCUUGCCUUUCUGAUAAAUUAUGGCGGUGGCCAGACACCAGAAUUGAACUUAGCUGGGCAUUGUGAGCCAAGCGAUUGCUCCUCGCUUAGUUCUGAGAUAAAAGCUUGCCAGAGCCGAGGCACCCAAGUGCUUCUUUCUCUCGGUGGAGCUCCAAACCUCUCUUCCGCCGAUGAUGCCAAGGAAGUCGCGUCCUAUCUCUAUAAUAAUUUCCUUGGCGGUAAAUCAGAAAAUCGUCCAUUAGGCGAUGCUGUCUUAGACGGAAUAGACUUUCAUAUCCAAGCUGGAAAGAGGGAUUUCUUGGAUGAUCUCGCCAAGGCGCUCUCAGAAUAUAGCACAUCAGAGAGAAGGGUGCACUUAUCUGCAGCACCACAAUGUUUCUAUCCUGACUAUUAUCUCGACGCUGCUAUCAGAACUGGCCUCUUUGAUUAUGUGUGGGUGCAAUUUUACAACAAUCCGCCUUGUCAGUAUAGUAUGGGCAAUGCCAACAACCUCUUCUACAGUUGGAGUUCUCAUUGGGCUUCAUACCCAGGAGUUAAUAAACUAUUCCUGGGAUUACCUGCAUCCCCUGAAGCCGCUCCUAGUGGCGGUUACAUUCCACCUCGGGUGCUUAUUCGCGAAAUUCUUCCCUAUGUCCGGGGCUAUCCCAACUAUGGAGGCGUCAUGCUUUGGAACGCAUUCUAUGACGAGAAUUACAGUCAGGCAAUCAGGCCUUAUAUUAACCCUGAAACGCUGGCUUGCGAUCGCAAGUCCAUGCUAAAGUCCCCAAGCAAUUGCGACAUAAAGAUAAAGUCUUAUGUGACUAAAUAAGUUCCUCUCGUUGUCAUAUGAGAGAUGAAAAAAUGUAAUCAUGGCUGUCUAAGCCAGAGAUAACGUGAAUAAAUAUAACAUGGGUUAUCAAUCCCCAGAGUUUGAUUGUCAAUUCGUGUUUGUUCUUGAUUAUAAUUUAGCACGAACGAUAUCAUUAGUUCUAGUUUCCUCUUAUUCUUCGGGAAAAAAAGGUAUUAAAGAAGAAAAGAACAUGCAAAAAGUGCCAGAUCAAAGUCAAUAUCAUUAGAGAUAUAUGUUCUCCAAAAUCAAUGUGUUCAUACAAGAACCUUUUAUGUUUCGGCACAUCUCUACUGUUGAGAAUAUUUAUGGUUCUGUUUGCUUCCACUCAAUGUUUAUAUUAUAUGUAAAACUAAACUUCCAUCACUUCCAGACUUUAAUGUGAAUUGACGGAGCAGCACAAUUAUCCUGGAAAGUUAUGAAUAAUGCUUUUUUUUUAAUAAUGAAAACAAUGAUGGCCAAAACUUAAGAUUGGUGUAAAAUUCAGUUUAUAGUUUCACAUUAAAAAUUAUAAGGAUGGUAUGAACGCCACCAGGUACUUAUUAUUGUGUUUUAAACUUGAAAAGCACAUUUUUUUUUAUUUGGUUUUUUAUGACACGAUAACUUGAUGAUCCAAUUAUUCAAGUUGCCAAAGAGGGUGGCUAGAAAUAAAAGUCUAAAAUUGAAGAACUAAGUGCACUUUUGAUAUACUUGAAUUUAUUGUUUAUUAUAUGGAAAUAGUUUUUCAAUUUCAAAUGAUUUUGAUAUUUCGAAUGCUUUGGCAAGUUUAUUUGGACAAAGCUGUAGAAGCAGAAUAAGGGAAAGCCUUGGAAUAUAAUGAUGAUGAUGCUAAAAAUGAAGAUGUUAGUGUUUGAUUUGCAAAAGCAUUGGUAAGAAUAGUACUUAUUAUCUAGCUCUUUGGCCUUAUUAGUUUUUAGAUUUUCCUAAUAGUGUCAUUCUACACUUGUUUUUCUUUUUCAAGAUGAAGAAGAUUCAGCUGGUAGAGAAGUCAAGGAAGAGAUUAUAAUUUGUGUUGGCUUUAUUGUAGUACAAUUUAAUUAUUUUUUGGUAAAAUUUUAAUGUCUUUAUUACCAAGCAAUUAUGGAUUGUAAUCUCUCAAAGAAAAGGAAAAAACAAGAGAGAUUAUAUUAUUGAGAAAUUCUAUUAAUAAAGAUAAAGCUGUAGAAUAUGUAUACAAUGAUAAAUUACAACAAGUUACCAUAUUAUACAUUUCCAAUUUUUCAAAAAAAAAAUUUGAGAACAACACAACUACAAUUUUACUAUUUACAAGAUUUCACGACAAGUACUCACUCCCGCACCUUGCGUGGGUUCACCCCUAGUUUCACAAUAUGAGAAUAAGAAGAAAUAUUUACAGCAAAGUUUAGAGACUCUAGAAUACAGGAAUGGGACAGGUACGAUCGACUACAGGUGCAAUUGACGCAGUUGUUAUACCCUUUUCAUGAUUUGAUUUAUACUUACAUAAUUUCGCUGUAUUUUAUGAUUUGGUGUAUACUCACAUAAUUUUUAUUAUAUUUCAUGAUAAAUAAUAAAGUUAUAUGAGUAUAUAUCAAAUUAUAAAAAAGUACAAUAAUCGUGCCAACCACAACUAAUACCACACCGUACUUGUCCUACUGGAAUACUUAGUUAAUAUUCGAGACUGAGACCAUAGAGCAUUAAUCCUUCUCACAUUGUAUCAAACAGAGGUACUGUUUGACAAUUGAAUUUUUUGGGUGUUUGUCCAAAAUUUUACUAUAAGUUAUCGUAAAAUUUGUAAAAAAAAAACUUGUUUGGAUGGUAAAACUUUCUUCCUUUUUUUUAUCUUUUCUUUUUCCUCUCCUCUUGUUUCUCCCCCACCCAACCAUUGCUCUUCCUCCUCCCCUUCUUCCCACUACUAGCCACCAUUGCCGGUACCUUUGUCGGCAAUCGACAACGGUGCCAGUAGACCUAUUUUUUUCUUACUCUCUUUUCUCCCCUUCUCCCCCCCUCUCCUUCCUCCCUUUCCUCCUUUCUUCUCCUUCUUUCCUCCUUCCUACUCCCUCCCUUUGGGAGAUGGAGGACCGGAAGGGGGAGCGGGAUAGGGAGGGAGGAGGAAGGAGAUAGAGGAGAUGAGGAGAGGAAGGAAGAAGGAAGUAGAAGAGGGGAAGAGGAGAGAAGGAGGGGAAAAAAGGGAUGAGGUUGCCAAAGGCGCCGCCAAAGUGCCAACUAGCAGUAGUGGUGAUGGUGGGUUGAGACGUGGGAAGGAGGAAGAAGAAGAAGAAGAAGAAAAGAAAGAAGGAAAAAAUUUUUUUGUGUGUUUUUAGAUAUUUUCAAGUGUGUAUGUUGAAAAGUUCUUGAAGAGUUUUUUUUCAUUUUAUUGUAGUUAAAACUGUUAAAAAAACUUACAAAUGAAAAACUUAACAAAAAACUCGCUAAAUAGGACUAGAGUUUUGAUGGGCUAUGAUGACACAACGGAGGCAGCUCCUCCAUCCAGCCUAAGGAUAACAACAGAUGCAGCUCCUCCAUCCAGCCUAGGGAUAUCUGUAAUCUAAAGAAAGCUCCAGAACAGAGAGGUGGAACCAGAAAUAGUUUCUACUAGGCGCACAAACUGCUCCUAUUGGUUAAUUAGAUUGAGUUACAACUUAGAUCAAUGGCCUAAACCUUAACCACUACAAUCACCGACGCAUUUUUCUUUUCUUUUGCUCCAAAAAAAAGCUUAAAGUUAUAGUAAAAAUUAUUGGUAACAAAUGAAAAUCUAAAUUUAGCUCUAAAGUAGGCUAUAUUAUAGUAAUUGAUCCUCUCCUUAAUUUCACUCUUCCAGUAACUUUGAUAUAUCAUAAAUGAUCAUCCAUUAUUAUAGAUCUUGCUUUCUCCUUUCAAAAAUUUUUAAUUUGGAGCAAACUAUUUGAUUUUUAGUCAAGUUCCUACGUUGCACAACUCUACAUUGUGGAAUCUGUGAUUCGUAGUAUCUUGCCAAAUCUUCUUAAUUUGUUUAGUAUCUUGCACAAUCCAGCUUGGAAAGUUGGACUAGUUUGGGAAGUAAAAGAAAUGGAGUGUUGCUCCUAAUUUUUGGCCAUGAGGAAGAGAUCAACAAUUUGUUCAAUAUUUCUUCUUUUAACAUUAAAAGGAAAUGAAGGAGUGCAACAUAAAAUCUCAUAAAAUUUAGAAUCCUGUGUUUUGAUUGCACCCAAAAAAAGAAGAUGAGGUGGAAUUGUGAACACGAUAGAGACUUAGUAGAAUUAAUCAAAAGAAUUUAUUCUGGGAAUUAAUCAAAAGAAACCAUAAAAUAUUAUAGAAUUCAAUGGCCUAGACAGCAUUUGAUAAAACUGAAAAUUGAUUUCUGAAAUAUAAAGACUGAAAACUAAUUCCUAAGUUCUUAAUUUGCUUAUAUCCAUGAAGUCACAUCUAUUUGAUAAUCAAUUUAAUGCAAGCAUUGAAUUGAAAUAUUUAUUCCAUAUGUAUUUUGUAGUUUUUUUUUUCAACCAAACGUUGUACCAUUAUUCAAGCUGCCCAAGAAUACAAUGCUGGGAGGAAGGCCGCACCCUUACCUCCGAAACGAGAAACGAAAAUUACAAAAAUUCUGCUUAUCCAGUGCCAGUAACCCUCUAGUACGACACAGUAAUUGAGAAGCCCAAUGUAUUUUGUAGUUUAAUCCUAAAUGUGAAAGGUGUGUUUUAUGUUAGAUUAAUUUUUAAAUAUUAUUUUUUUGAUAAAUGUUUGUUUGAAAGAAGAAAAGCAUAGAUUCUACAUGUUUGAAGGGGAGAUUGUAUUUAGAUGUAUUAUAUAGAAGAAAAAAAAUAUAUAUAUAUAUAUUCUAGCGAGAGAGAACGUGUGUGGAUGUGUGAAAAUGUGAUCGAAAGAGAGUGUGUGUAUACUGUGUGAAAGUGUAUUGGUGAGCGCAAUGAUUCUUUUGAGUGAAUAUGAUUAAUACAUAUACUAGUUCAACAAAUUAAGUGAUACAACUUUCGUGUAAAUUUUUGUAUGUAAAUCAAAUGUGUCAUAAAUAUAAGCAAAUUUUAUUAUCAAACAAAUGUAGCAGGAAAGAAGUACUUAAUACAAUAACUUUGCGUACUUAAUGAGGUUAUCAAAUAUCUCCUUAACUCUAGAAAAAUAGUCUAUUAACAAAUUUGUGUUGAACUUAUUAAAUUGAACCAUGAAAUUUUUCCCAAGACCUCCAUUUAAUAGUGGGAUUUGUGUUGCAACAUGGUGAGGAUAUUGGACAGGUAACUAUGAGGUCGUAGUCAAACUUUCAAGAGAGAAGGAAAUGGUAAAAGAGCUCUUUACUUGGCUUUAAAUGCUGUAUCUUUAACGGGUAGGGUUUUUUUGGGAAGGGUUCCAAAAACAAUCAACGAAGGCUAGUGGCAAAUCAGCACGGAAAGAAGAUAAACCGAGAUUUCGGCGGCAGCUGGCAUACUUUCUUUCCUGAUUGCGAAACACCAUGUCGAAGCUAGGGUAUUUUAUCCAACCAGCCUAGAUUAGAAUUUCAAGACGUACGGCUUCUUCGAGUAAAGAAAGUUCAGCCACGAACACUCCUUUCACGACCUAUUCAGAACUAAGUACACCUUAGAACAGAAGUGCUCGUUAACUAGAUUCCCUUCUUAUUUCAAAAUCAAUACUGAUGGGUCCUCGAUCCAUGGGGAACUCGGGUCCAGCUGGAUCAGGUGACUUGAAUAGAAAUCACCUAGGACACUAGGUAGCGGCCUUUAGCAAAAAAUUAGGACCCAUUACCAAUAUCCUUGCUCAGUUGUGGGGGACAAGAGAUGGGGUAUCCUUAGCUUCCUCUCUCACUUGCAAAAUAUUGAAUUAGAAGUUAAUGCUAAAACUGCUCUAGAUUUGAUUAAAUCUGUUGAUACCUCAACUCAUGAGUAUGAUUCAAUUAUUUCUAAUUGGCAGGUUCCUGAUCUCUGUUCUGUCGAAAGUUAUACUUAGAUAUACUUAUCGAAAGUUAAUCAGUAUGAAGAUAGAUUAACGAAAUUAGGUGCUCAGCAAGACACGAUUUUUGUAUGUUAUGAAAGUGUCCCUCCUAAUUUAAAAAUCUAGUAGAUGCAGAUAUUAAGGGAAUUUGUCACUUUGUGCCUAUAACUUAAUAGUCCCUUUGUUACAAACAAAAAAAAAAAAAGAAAGAAAGAAAGAAAGAAGGUUCAGCGACUGGCAUUUGUUCAAUAUGAAUCAUAUUACAAAAAAGGGGUUCAUGAAACAUGCAACACCACACUGCAGAAGUGGUAGGCGCCGCAUCUAUCGAUGAUGAUUGAGACCAAACUUGAUGAGAAGAUUCUAAAACAGGUGUCUCAAGAAAGCUGUAAUAGAAAAACAUGUCAACGUAAUCAGGAUUUCCAUCGUAGAAUUUAGCAAACCGCAUAUACCCUAGAUCCUGAAAUCCUUGGUGCAACUGACUCAUCAUUAACAGAGCUAUGUUUGAAAAGAUGUCAGUUUCUGCAAGAGCAUGAACCUCAAAAGAAUUUGAAGAAAUUGUCACUGGUGGAGAUAGGUAUCAAGGAUGAAUUUUGCAGUUAACUUGGUGCAAAAGUACAGGAAUCUCGUGACUCUGAAAACAAGAAUCAGGACGGGUUUGAAACUAUCAAUUUGAAAAGAGAAAACACAUUCAAGAGGCAAUAUUUUAAGUUGUUUAACGAAUAAAAAUGUUGAAAAGUAUAUUAAUAGAAACUUGUAAAAAUGAAAACUUACAUGAACGCAACUGUGGCCUAUACAUUUUUUUGCCUGUGACAACAUUUUUCCUUCUUUAUAUUUUUUUAACUUUAGUGCUGUCAAUUCAAUUUAAAGUAUCUUUCAUUUCAGCAUACCUGUCCAUUGAUAGUCUCAUACUUUAUGAAUUACUUUGUUUUUUUUUGAGCACUUCAUGAAAAACUUUGUCAUGUUAUGACCCAAUAAUUUGUCCAUAACCUGUGAUCGACUUUUUUCUGAGCACUUGAUGAAAAACUUUGUCGUGUAUUGUUCUAACAAUGUGUUUUCUAACAAUUUUGUCCAUAACCUUUGACUCAAUUUACUCGCAACCUAAUGAAUACACAAGCACCCUACUCCCGCACAAUUGGACGGGCUUAAUUCUCUAGUCUUUUUUUUUUUUUUUCUCUUUUGAUAAAAACAUCAUCAUUUUGUUGAAUCUGUAGUAGUGGGAGAAAUUACAUCAAUGAUAUAUAGAUAUAGAUUUGAAGAACAAAUGCUAGAUGUUGUAGAUCUGAAUAAUCAAAAGCGUCUUUAUUGUGGAACUCAAAAAACAUCAAAUGAUAUCUGCGCAUACUUCCACCGAUACCAUUUACUUUCUCCUAAAUAUGCUCAUGAACUGAUUCAAGCCUGGAUGCUUAGAUGAGAUCUGAAGAGAUAGAUUUAAGAAAUCUCAAAUCUGGCAACUAAGUCUUAAAAAAAAUUAGAUCUAACACUAGAAAUAGAAAAACUACAAAAAGUCCACUAAGAAUCCACAAAAUCACCAACAUCAUCUUUACUGCAGCCAUCGUCGACCAUUCGAUCUUCAAUUUUACUUCCCUUCGAUCAACUUUUUUUCAUCAGAUUUCAUCAUAUCAUCAACCUUAUUUCAUCAAAUUUAAAUUUCACAAUCCUAAAAAGGAUAAACCAAAACAUCAAAAAGAGCCCAAUCUUGCAAAAUUUUAACCUUGCACACCACUGAAUUAAGCCCUCUUUUGCAAAAUUUCUUUUUCAUAAAAAUUUGUGAGAAUUAAUGUGUGCAACCUAUGAAUGUUUGGAUUUUUUUAGAUUAUUAGUCUUCUUGAAUUUGUCCCCUCCUUAAUUUAUUUAGUCAUUUGUAUGCAAUUUUGUAAUCAUAUAUUCUUUUUACGUGAGGAAGACUGAUUUUGGAUGAAUUUUCUAUUGACUCAAUAUCAAAUUUGCCAUAGCAUGUUGGAAAAAUGCCUAAACUAAAUUCAUGGUUGUUCAUUGUUUCUUUCUUCUUCUCUUUUUGUUUUUUUUUGGUGUAGCUAGAUAUUGAAAGGGUUGAAGAAAGGGGAAGGAAAAUUUAGUAUUGAAUUUGAGUCUUUGCACUUGCAAUUAAUUUGUAGGUGUUCUUGGUUUCUUACAGUUGAUGACGGAUUAUUACUGACGAGUUCCAUGUGAACUAUCUUCAAUUACAAAUAGAAAUAAACCGGAAAUAUUUCUUAGAAUGGUACCCUAAGAUAAUGAUUAUGAAAUCAAUAAUCAUCGCAAGUGGAUUGUCAUAAUUAAAUAUGUAAAGAUAUAUAAUACUGCAGCCGGUUUGUUUGUGAUGGCUAAUCUUUUCCUAUGUGCUCCAUUUAGUGAAACUUCAUCUAUCUUGAUCACGUGAACCACGUACAAUCAUAUGUACAACCAGUUAAUUUAUUUGGGUCCUUGCAAGUAAAUUUUCAAUUCAGAUUUAUUGUUUGCUUCGGGAUAGAUUUAACUUACCAAAAAAGAAAAAGUAAAUUUCAGCAGCAAAGCCUUCAAGUAAUUUUGAAGUGGGAAAAUCAUUUAAAAGUCCCUCACAUUUCACUAAAUAAAAAUUUUUUUAUCCUUCACUUUAAAAUAAUAACUUUACGUUUCUUAUAAAAUCAAGUCAGUAAAAUUUAGUUCAACUUAAGUUUUUUACUACUUUUUACCCUGAAUUCAUCACAUAAUCCAAAUAUGGUCAUUUUUUUGGGACAAAAAGGUUAAAUCUCAUUUGUAGUCAAACAAAUGAUUUGAUCCAUAACUAUUUUGACACUAAAGAGUAGGAUCUGAUCUAAAUCAUAUUUAUUUUUCUCUUGAAAAGUGGGAUCUAAUUUAAUUCAUAUUCAUUUUUAUCCUAAAAAAGUGAAAUUUGACUUUUUUGUAUAUAAAAUAAUUUCAUGGGAGUCACAUGGUGAUUUCAAGUUAAAAAGUGGUAAAAAAAAACUUAGAUUCGAACCAAAUUUUGUUAACUUGAAUUUAUAAGGAACCUAAAACUAAUAUUUUAAAAGAAAAACGAAAAAAUUCAUUUGACAAAAUAUACGAGACAUUUUGAAAGAUUUUCCCUUCUGAAGUUGUCUUUUGAAUAUUACCUAUCCUUUGAUUUCCUAUUGUACUCCCUUUCAGUGAUUUAUUGGGAGCUCCUCUUUGGAAAUGUUCCUCACAAUGGGAUCUCAACGUUAUUUGAAAACAUGAAAAUUGCAAAGACAAGUUGGUCAUAAGCCGAUGACAUUAGCCUUAUUUGGAUUACAAGUUUUCACAGAAAAAUUUUAAAAUAUUUCUUGACAUAUUUUUUAAUCACAUUUUUAUCUUAUAUAUGUCAUAUUUAUUAUUAUAAUAUUUUUUUUUUAUAAAAUGCUAUAAACUUAUAUACAUCCUAUUAUCUUAUGUAUGUCAUAUUACUAUAGUAUAUUUUCAACGAGACUGUGAACUUACAAUUCAAACUGUAACUUUCAUUUUAGUGCGUCCCUUCUAAGUGAUUUUAGUGCGUUCACUUCAAUUCAUGCACGUGAAGGGGAAGGACUGGUCCAGAAUUCUGUAGAAGGACAAUAAUUUGGGUAAGGACUGGAAAAUUCAAUUGAAACAAGACAAGAAUGUCGCAUUCGAAGUGCGAUAAUUUUGGUGUCAAUCAACGUCACUAUUAAAAGAAGAUAAGAUUGUUGAUAAAUCCAUACAUCAAAUCCGUAUCCAAUAUCUUUACUCGAAAAUUGUGCUCCCGCAAGAAAGUACAAGUAAACUCUUAUAUUCAUCAAAUAUGAUGUGGCCGACAGAAAAGUUCAGGCUAAGAUGCUCUUAUACUUGAGUGAAGGGAGAAGGUUGAUUUAAAUUAUUACUGUCAAAGAAAUUCAUUUAACUAAAUUUAUCUAUAUUCGCUCAUAAAUAAAUGAGUAUGUGUAUAUUAAAUUUUUACAUAUGGAUAUAAAUGAAUAUUAUUAGAUAACCCAUCAAACUUAAUUAAUCCAUUUAAAAUUGUCUUCUCCCAAACUUUCUCUCUUCCUCCACCCUUUUUUUAAAUUUUUUUUUCAUUUUGUCAUGAUGUUAACUACUUUUGUUUCAUUAUUAUUAUUAUUAUUUGUUAGUUUUAUCUUAUCAUUUUAUUUUCUUUUAAUUUAUUAACUUGCUCAUUUUUCAAUAUUACCAAUUUAUGACAAGUUUUAAAUUCUUUUCUUAUUUUUCCAAAAUAAAAUUUUAAAUUUACACACAAAAAAAUGCUAGGGUUCAAAACUUUUGGAUUAAUUUUUUAUGUUAACUUUUAUAAUAUUUAGUUCAAAUUUUUAUAUUCUUAUUGUUUAAUUAUGAAAUAGUAUGUAAUUUUGCGACAUAGAGUACGGAUGGGAAAAAAAUUGAUAAUUAGGCUUAUUGAACAUUAUAAGUAAAUAUUUAAAACUAAUGAUGGGUGCAAAGAAUGGUAUAAAUUGAUAACUUAGUUUGCAAAAAUGAAUUUACAAAAAGUUAAAAAUAAAUGGGUUAUAAAUGGGUAAUUGGGUUACCCAAUUUAUUUUUUGACUUAUCCAUUUAUAUCCAUCUAAUUAAAUGGGUAUAAAUAAGUUGACUCACUUAUAUCCAUUACCCAUUUUACCCAAUCCAAACGCCCAAAUCAUCCAUUUUGACACCUCUAAUUUAAACCUAUUCAUCAUCAAUUUUGAUUUACAUAUUCUAAUAUGUUGCCACAAAAAAAUCAGGGACAGGGAAAAUUAUUUUAAAAUAUAUAAAAAUAUGUGAAAAGAGAAAGAGAAUAAAUAUACAAUAUAACUGAAAUAAUUUUAUAAACUAAACUCAACAAUAAGACUCACAAACAACAAUUUUAGAAGCUUUCUCUCAUUAUCCACAACUUAACUCUCUCUUCAAGAAAACAAUGAAAUGGUACUACUCAAUUUAUAGAGUAUCCAACGGACUCUAGUCACAAAGGAAUAGGACAAUGGACAAAUAUAUAUAUAUAUAUAUAUAUUGCAAUUCUGAACCGACGACAGUAUUCCUCUCCAAAAUGAUAAAUGUAACUUGCUAAGCUUUAAUGACCAGACACAUCAACUUCUAAAUUCUUCAACUCACUAGACCAAGAAAAAGAAGUUGCCACAUAACUAAUUUAUUCUAAUAAUUAGUCUUGGUUUAAUUAUCUACACAACCAUUGGUCAUCUUUCUUGGGCAAUUACAUAAUCAAUCCAACCUUGCUACUUGUCAGCCUUGAAGGACAGCGCUUGGAAAUUAAUUAACAGCUUAUCAUAUGCGCUACAAAAUGCAGAAGUUUAAUCUAUAGAUUUAUCUGUAGACCUUGUAAUCAAUUGGUGAGUCACAUUGAUUAAGUGAUGUAUGUUUACUUUUUCGUCCCAUUUAUUUAGUCAUGUUUGACAAAUCUAGCUUUUAAAAAUAGUGAUUUGAUUGUGAUGUUUGUACUUUUUUUUCAAUUUUACUCUCACAAAUUUAAAUUUUAAAUUUGAAUGGUAACAUGAAUAUAAUUAAAAAGAAAGGCUAUAUUUAAAAGGGAGAUUAAAAGGUACUUUGAUUUUUUUUACAUGAUAUUUUUGGAAUAUUCUAAAAUGAAAAAUACAGCAAUUUUAAUGAGACGGAAGAAGUAUAUUAUUAGUAUUAGAUUAUAAAAAAAAUUGAUGUGACUAUAGAGUCCAAAAAUAUCUUUCAAACCCAUUCAGGCUAGGUAAGGAUACGCCAAGAACGAAAUACGGGAAGAUAACAGGUGCAUGGUUGGGACUUGGGAGGAUGAGUAGAAAGGAUGUACUCCUGUUUUUAUUUGUCCAUUCUGUAUCGACGUGGAGACUUGGAGCCGCGAGUUUAGAAAUUAGUGACUUUCAUAGCUAAGGACAGGUUAGGUCAGUACAAUAAUUGCCCCAUCCAUUAUUGCGCAUUAAAAGGGACCCAUUUCUCAUUAUCGGACUCGGAUGUUUGCCUUUAAGUUGCUGGGCACUUAUCUUAAAGGAAUAUUCUUUUUACCUUUUACUGCGUUACAUGCCAAACGAUAGCUAUUAUUAUUAGAACUGCAUAGUUUGUGGGGAUAAUUGCAGAAACCUCCCCUGAGGUUUCUGACAUUUUCACUGACCUCCCCUAUGGUUUGAAAAAUUACACUGACCUCCCCUGAGGUUACUAAUCCUUUGCAAAUUUAGUCCAAACGAUUAAAAUAUUAUUAUUUUAGGGAGUGAAAUUAGAAUUUUGUACUAGAUUUGCCCUUUGUACUACAUGUCCAAUGAAUGACAAAGUAUUAUAAAUCAAUUAACAAUUAAUAAACUUUAAGGAGUAUAACUUAUGGGCAAACACGCAUUACUCAUUUAAAGUACCGGCUCUUUACGGGUAUUUUACUUUCAAACAUUUAAUUUAUGAUAAAUAUAUCAAUAUUUAUACGUAAAAUUCAAAAAGUGUUACAGUAAUAUUCUUGCAAAAAGGAAAUUGGUAGGUUAUUGAUUUAAUAUAAAUUAAAUAUUUUUUUUUAAAAAAGAAAUGGCCCAUAAAGUAUUAAUUCUUUAUGACUUUCAUACAUUACAUAAGUAAAGUAUUCGCUCUUUAUGUGCAUUUUAUUCUGAAUCAUUUAAUUUAUGUUAAAUACAUAAAUGUUUGUAACUAAAAUUGAAAAAGUGUUAUAUUAAUAUUUUUACAGAAAAGAGAUUGGUAGGUUUUGUAUUUAACAAAAAUUAAAUAUUUGAAAGUAAAUACAAAUCUGUAUUUGAGCGUAAAUAUUUGUAUUAAAUUAAAUGUUUGAAAGUAAAAUACCCGUAAAGAGCCGGUACUUUAAAUAGUUACCGGCUCUUUAUGGGCAAACACGCAUUAUUUAUUUAAAGUGCCGGCUCUUUACGGAUAUUUUACUUUCAAAUAUUUAAUUUAUAAUAAAUAUAUCAAUGUUUGUAAGUAAAAUUUAAAAAGUGUUACAGUAAUAUUCUUGCAAAAAGGAAAUCAGUAGGUUAUUUAUUUAGUAUAAAUUAAAUAUUUUUUUCAAAAAAAGAAAUGAUUCAUAAAGUAUUAAUUCUUUAUGGCUUUCAUCCAUUACAUGAGUAAAAUAUUGGCUCUUUAUGGGUAUUUUAUUCUGAAUCAUUUAAUUUAUGUUAAAUACAUAAAUAUUUGUAACUAAAAUUGAAAAAGUGUUAUAUUAAUAUUUUUACGGAAGAGAGAUUGGUAGUUUUUGUAUUUAACAAAAAUUAAAUAUUUGAAAGUAAAUACAAAUCUGUAUUUGAGCGUAAAUAUUUGUAUUAAAUUAAAUAUUUUAAAGUAAAAUACCCGUAAAGAGCCGGUACUUUAAAUAGAUAAUGCUUAUUUGCCUAUAAACUAUACUCCUUAAAGUUUAUUAAUUGUUAAUUGAUUUGUAGUAUUUUGUCAUUCAUUGGACAUGUAGUACAAAGGACAAAUUUGGUACAAAAUUUUAAUUUCACUCCUUAAAACAAUAUUUUAAUCGUUUGGACUGAAUUUGCAAAUGAUUAGUAACCUCAGGGGAGGUCAGUGUAAUUUUUCAAACUACAGGGGAGGUCAGUGCAAAUGUCAGAAACCUCAAGGGAGGUUUCUGCAAUUAUCCCUAGUUUGUGUGAAGAGUGAGAGUCAGAGUAUUAUUCGCGCCUUGAGGUGUUGUGUUUCACGUUUCUAUGUUACACGAAUUUUAUGACUCAUCAGAGAGACAUUCUAUCCUGUUCGGAAAAAAAACAAAAAAAAAGAGAGACAUUCUAAAAUUUGGAUUUUUAUUCAUUAUUGCAUCGGAGUCAGAACCUUGUGAUAAGGGGUGCAAUGGUCAACUUCAGUAUAAAUCAUACUCUUAGAUUUAUAUAAUAAAUAUACGAGUAAAUCUUAUAUACACUGACAGUGUAUACACUAUCACCAUUGGAUUUAUGAUAUAUGUGUAAAAGUUGAAUUUUAAAUUCAAAACUUAUAUAUUUGUCAUUUAUUCAUCGUUGAUAAUGUAUACACUGUCAGUAUAGAAAAGAUUAAUCCUAAAUAUACAGUAUGCUUUUGAUUUAAAAAGUGAAAUCUUUUUUUCCCAUUAAUGUUUAAUUUGAAAUAAAUCCUAAAUUUUUUUUAGAGGUAAUCAAUAGAAAGUAUUUUUUGGAGUCAAUGUAGAAUAAGUGAGGAAUAUAUAAAGCUUCAAAAGAUAACCUAUAUAAAGAAGGGAAUUUUCUUAAAUUUGACGGGAGCAAUACAACUGAAAGAGAGAAUUUUAUAAAAUUCAAGGGUGCAACACAUGGUAUAAACUUAAUAAUCUUGAAAAAUUUGAAGGCCAUUGUACAAUUUUAUCAAAAUUGAGGGGGCCGGGGAGGGAGGGAGGGCAAUUGUCCACUCCACAAUCCUAUGUGGCUCUGCCACUGGAAUACUUAUCAAUCGAAUAGAUAGUAUGAUAGACCGCCAGCCUUUGGCCAGUGGCCACCACCUAGCUUGGUGGGGUGGGAGGCAAGGCAAAAUGCCACAUUUAAGUGGUUUGCUUCAAAAAAUUCAGACGGGUGUGUUGUGCACCCGUUUGAUUCGGUGGUGGUUCAGUCCCCUUCGGGUUAUUCUUGGGCCUCCUUAGGUCCGCCCCCUCCCCCUUAGUGUAGAAUAGAUUAGGUUAUACAACAGUUGUCGUUUCCGAAAAAAAAAAAAAAAAUAGAUAGUAUGAUAAGAUUUUAACAGCAAAAAUUGUUAAAAAAAAGGGAUUCUUUGCCGUACUAUUCGACCCAUAAUCCGAGGGGGUAAGGUGGGAUCAACUCCAUGGCACAGAGAGGCAAAGUGCCAUUCAUCGCCUAAUAGAUAAAUCCUUCUCUCAGUUAAAAGCCACAUUGGUUUGCAUCUAUCAAUUUGAAAAAAAAAAAACUAAUUUAAGAGGCAAUAUUUUAAGUUAUUUAAGGAAUAAAAAUGUUGAAAAAGCAUAUUAAUAGAAAACUUGUCAAAAUGGAAACUUACAUGAACUCAACUUUGGUCUACAAUAUUUUUUUUUGUUUUUACAAUUCUUUUCUUAAUAUUCUUUUUAACUUUAGUGCUGUCAAUUUACUUCAUGGCCCAAAGGCAAAAAAAAAAACAAAGACUAGUGAUUGACACACGAACAAUCUUUAAUGCAAAUUUCAAACUCAUUAAGAAAUGAGAGUGUGAAAUUAUCAGAUUGGAUUUCAGUGAAAUGGGGAUUUUAAACAUUCAACGCGAAGCAUCUAAGCUGGAUCGCGGGCUGGAUGACAUUGAAAUUGUGGUGAAGAUAAGUUUUCAAAGUCUCUUUCAUUUCAGCAUACUUUAUGAAUAAACUUUUUUCUUGAGCACUUUAUGAAAAGAAUAUUUUACUCAGUUUACUCACUAACUAAUGAUUACACAAGCACUCAACUUCCGCACAUUUGCACGGGCUUAAUCUUGUAUUAUUAUUAUUUUUUUUAUAAUAAUAAUAAUAAUAUUAUUAUUUACUUCUUCCCGAAUGUGCUAAUGAGCUGGUUUAAACCUAAAUGGUAAGGUGAAAUCUGAGGUGAUAGAUUUAAAAAUUUUCAAAUUUGGCAAUCAAAUUUGAAAAACGAAAAAAAAGAUCUAACACAAGAAAUAGAAAACUACAAAAAGUCUCACUAGAAAUCCCGCAAAAUCACCAUCGUCAUCUUUACAGCAGCCAUCGUCAACCAUUCGAUCUUCAAAUUUACUGUCUUUGGAACAAAUUUUUUUCAUUAGAUUUCAUCAUAGAGCCCAAUCUUGCAGUUCACUGUGCCAGCACUGAAGUAAGCCCUCUUUUCCAAAUUUUUUUUUUGUAACUUGAAAUUUGUGUGAAUUAAUAUGCGCAUCCUAUGGAUGUUUGGAUCUUUCAUUUUAUUAGUCUCCUUGAAUUUGUUGUCCCUUUGGUCAUUCGUAUGCAAUUUUUUAAUCACAUAUUCUGUUUACCUGAGGAAGUCUGAAUUGUGAUGAAUUUUGUAUUGAUUCAACAUCAAAUUUGAUUAAAGGAAAAAGGAAACUGGCCUACGAUCAUAGCAUGUAAGCAUGAUGGAAAAAUGCCUAAACAAAAUACAUUGUUGUUCACUGUUUUGUUUUCUUUGGUGUAAUUGGAUAUUGAAAGGGUUGAAGAAAGGGGAAGGAAAAUUUAGGAUUGAAUUGGGGUGUUUGCACUUGCAAUUGAUCUGUAGGUGCUUUUGUUUUCUUACAGUUGAUCAUGACGGAUUAAUUUUUUUUUUGGUAUUAACCACAGGUGUCCGCAUCCGUUUUACGGUCUACGACUAAUUCUGUUCUAGUCACGUUGGACCCUUUGUAGGGGGAAUCUCUCCCAACGUUGUUUUUUCCAUCCUCAUAGAUUUCGAACCCGAGACCUCAUGGUUAAGGGAUGCAAGCCCCUUCCACUUACACCAACAUUCGUUGGUGACGGAUUAUUACUGACGAGUUCCAUGGGAAUUAUCUUCAGUUACAAAUAGAAAUAAACGGGAAGUGCUUCAUAGGAUGGUAUCUUGAGACAGUGAUUGGGAAAUCAGUAACCAUCGCAAGUGGAUUGUCAAAAUUAAAGAUGUAAAAGACAUAUACGACUGCAGCUGGAUUGUGAUGGCUAAUCUUAUCCUAUGUAGUGAAACUUCUUGAUCUCGCGAAACAUGUACAAUCAUAUGUACAACCAGUUAAUUUAUUUGGGUCCUUGCAAGUAAAUUUUCACUUCAGAUUUAUUGUAGUGAUUGUAACAUAUAUUUUGUGGCUUUGGAACAGAUUUAACUUACCCAAAAAAAAAAAAAAAUUAAAUCUCCACUGCAAAGCCUUAGAGUAAUUUUGAAGUUCAGUCUAUUGAACACUGCCUAUCCUUUGCUUUCCUAUUGUACUCCUUUUGAGUGAUUUAUUUAGAGCUUCUAUUUGGAAAUGUUCAAACCUGACAAUAAGCUCUCAGUGUUAUUUCCAUGAAAACUGCAAAGAGAAGUUGAUCAUGCAAAAAACUACUGUAGCUGACAAGAUUGGCGUUAUUUGGAUUGUCGGUUUUCACUUAAAAAUUUUGAAAUAUUUUUUCAAUAUAUUUUUCAAUCACUUUUUUAUCUCACAUAUAUCAUAUUAUUAUAAUAUAUAUAUUUUUUAACGAAACUCUAUAAACUUACAAUUCAAACUGUAACUUUUCAUUGUAGUGCGUCCUUCAAAGUGACUUUCGUUUUAGUCCGUCCAUUUUAAGUGAUUUUAGUGCGUCCACCUCAAUUCAUGCACAGGAAGGACUGGUCCCAGAAUUCUGUAGCAGGACAAUGAUUUAGGGUGGCCUGGAAAAUUCUAUGGAAACAAGGCAAGAAUGUCACCUUUGGGGUGUCCAAUAAUAAUGUUAGUGUCAAUCAACCUCACUAUUAAAAGAAGAAAAGAUUGUUGAUAAAUCCAUACAUCAAAUCCGUAUUCAAUAUCUUUACUCGAAAGUUGUGCUCCCAAGAAAGUACGAGUAAACUCUUAUUCAUCAAUUUGCAUAAACAAUAGGGUUAAUCACAUUUUAUCCCCUUAAAGAAUGCCCAAAUUUUCAAUUUACCCCCUAACCUUUAAUUUUGCUCACUUAACUCCCUUUAGGACAAAAUUGCCCUUGUAUUAUUUUGACUUUUCAUUUACCUUAUUUUCCUUUCUUUUAUUUCUUUCUCUCUUUCUUCUUUAUUUAAUUCUUCUUCUUUCCCACAAAAAUCUUCACCUUAAUGAUUGAAAUUAAAAAAGAGGAAUUGCAGAUAUCUAUCUUCUCCUUAAAUGAUUAAAAAAAUAUUCAAAUCACUUUCCUAAAAUAUAAUUUUUUUAGCCUUUCAAUUCUUUUACUUUUGGGUUUUCCUCUUUCCUUUCUAGUUUCUCAUUUUAUUCCCAAGAAAAUAUCUUAAGAUGAAAUUGUGAUCUGAUUAAUAAACAUGAAUGAAGGGAGAAGGUUGAUUGAGGCCCUAUUCAUCCUCAAAUUUGAUUACAUAUUCCAAUCUAUUGCCACAAAAAAAAAAAAAUCAUGCUCAGCAAAAAUUAUUUUAAAAUAUAGGAAUAUAUGUGAAAUAUAACUUAAUCGUUUUAUUAACUAAACUCAACAAUAAUGCUUACAAAUAACAAGUUUAGAAGUUUUCUCUCAAUGUCCACAACUUACCUCUCUCUUCAAGAAAACAAUGAAACGGUAUAGAGUAUCCAACCGACUCUAGUCUCAAAGGAAUAGGAAACUAACAAUUGGCAGAAAAAUUUUUAAUUCUGAACCGACUAGGAGUAUCUCUCUCCCAACAUGAUAAAUGUAAAUAACUUGCUGAACUUUAAUAACCGGGACCUUAGGAAAUAUUUCUUUUCCACAUCAACUUCUAAAUUCUUCCACUCACUAAACCAACAAAUAAAAAAACUUGCCACAUAAGUAAUUUAAUUUAAUAAUUAGGCUUGGUUUAAUUAUCUACACAACCAUUUGUCGGAUUUCUUGGGCAAUUACGUAAUCAAUCCAACCUUGCUAACUGUCAGCGUAGAAGGACCUUAGAAAUUAAAUAACAGCUUAUCAUGCACUGCAUAAAAUAGGUUUAUCUGUAGAGCUCGAGCUCGUAAUCAAUUUGUGAGUCACACUGAUCAAUUUGUGGGUCUUAAAGGUUAGAAGUUAAGAGGUUAUUCUGGCGAGAUUUGGAUUUGGGAAUUUUUUUAAUUUGUUUUCUUGCCUCCCAAAGAUCUUAUUCUCCUUCAUUUCUUUGUUUGUUAUUACUUUUUUUUUUAAUGAGUUUUAAGAAGUUAUGGUGAUAGUGGGGGAUGAUGAUAGUGGUGAUGGGAUGAUCAAGAGGUUGGUGUUGAUAGUGUGAGAUUUGGGUAUGGAUUAUGACUUGAUUUCUAUUUCUGUUUGAUGAAUUUUUAGAUAUUAAUUUAUGCUUUUUGAAAGGGAUUUUUGUUUGAGGAAUAUUUGUAGGGUUUAGAAAUUUGACUAUAUUCAGAAGAUGAAAAUAAAGGAAGGGUAUUUUUGGAGGUUUGGUAAAAUUUUGAGGGUUAACAAGUAUAAUCACUCUCUCUUUUUUUAUCAGAUUUAAUUUAAUUUGUAAAUUGUGCAAAAAAUUAGAAGUUGAAGGUAAUGGACUGCUAAAUUUAAAGUUUGGAAUGCAAGUUCCAAUUGCGAAAUUGUUGAGGGGUGCAACUUACAAUUAACCCUAUUUCUAUUUUAUUUUAUAUUAUACAACUUGUUAAAGGGACAACUGUAGUAUUAAGAGAAAUAUUUUAAAGGGAUAAUUUCAUAAACCUCCCCUGAGGUUUUUGAUAAUUUUAUGUGGCUCCCUUAAGGUUUCAAAAUUUACAUCUACCCCCUUACCCAUUUAAAAUGACAAUACUAACCUUAAUAUUUUAAUAAAACUCUCUUGCUUCCAUGUUUAUAAAAAGGAUGGAUUUUAUAAUUUUUAUAAUUUAUGAAAAGAGGUAAAACGGGAUGAACCCCAUGGUUCAGGGGAACAAAGUGCCAUUCAUCCGCUAAUAGAUAAAUCCUUCUCUUUCUUCCUUAAAAGCCAUGUUGAUUCAGUGACAGGGCGUCAACUAAUUAAAAAUAAAUAACUACUCCAGAAAAUACGAACUUGUUUGCAGCAAUGAGUAGGAUUGUCUCCACAAGAUAGAGUUGAUUUAUUUUCUUCCAAAGCAAUGAAUAAAAAGGGGGAUUUUGGAGAAUUAAACUAACUAAUUAACUUAAACACAAAUAAACAUGCAAAGAAAAUUAACUAAGAAUAAACCAAUAAUAAUAGAGUUCUAGCCAAAGGAAUAAUCUUAGGAUUGGUUCCUAUAAUUGAUCACUAAAGCAAAGAUGAAUUCAAAUAUUAGUGAACAAAUAGGUUAUAAUUAUCAUUAAACUUUGGCAAUCAAUCUUUCCUUACUUUAUCGAUAAUCAGAGUAUGGCCACUAACUACUUCUCUAACUAAAAGAUAAUCCUAGGUACAACCAUAGAAUUAAAUCUUUUAUCAGCAUCAAGAAUUAAAAAAGCCUAAUUCGAAUCAACAAACAUGUUGCGAGAGUUCAUUUAAAUUAUAUCAUAUAUUUUCCUGAUAUAGAUCCAAUUAUGCUAGUCAACACAAAUAUUAAAACAGACAAACAAUUACGAAUUUAAUUGUUUCAAUUGGCAGCAGACUAUUGUAAAUAAUUAAAUAUUGGCCACUUAUUUAAUUACACACAAUAAUCAUCAUACAUGUAAUACAGGAAGUAUAAAAAUACCCACGAAUAGAUGAAACAGUAAACUUAAAUUAGAUAUCAUAAUUGUUUGUAGAACCAAGGCUUCGAUUAUCCUCUAACUAGAAAGAAAAUUUAGCCACUUCUUAUGGAGAAAAUGCAGCGGAGAAAACUAGGUUUUUGUCUUGAGAGAAGAAAAAAGAAAACCACCUAACUACGAUGACAAAGUGUAGAGAGAGUUUGGGAAUUAAAUAUCGAUAUUCUCGCCCUAACAAUCUAUAUGAUAAUCUCCUAAAAAUUAUUCCAAUAAAAGGAAUUAUCUUCCAUACUGGAAUAAUCUAUUUUCGUAGAUAAUGAUAUAAUAAUAUCCUUACUAACUAGUUGCCAUCCAAAAAUAAAAAGUUUUCAAGGCUGCAGAGAAAUCAAUCAAUUAUUCUCUUUAAUUGUUGAAAUUAAUCUCAGGUCCCACAACUUCUGAAUUUCCUAGGCUCUUUAAGACGCGCCCAUACUUUAUAGCAAAUAGACUUUUCAGCAACUCUUUUUAGUCCUCUUUCAUCCCAAAUUCUUAUGACAUCACUAAAACACAAAAUAUAAGUAAAAUCCACAAAAUAACACAAUAAUCUACUAAAAUGAAAGGAGAAUCGACACAAACUAUAUCUCGAUUAGGCACACAAUCAUUUAGUGACACAUGAUGAUGUAAGUAAUAUUACAUUAUUAUGAUGAUAUAUGUGGCUCUUGAGUAUGCACCACAUCGUCCAUGAGUGGUUCCGAAAAUCAAGUUUUUAAGAAGGUUUUAAAGCUGGAAAUCUUACUGGGUCAUAGGUUAUUGGUUCAAUCGUUAGAUUAAAUGUUACCAAGUCAUUGUUACUCUGUGACACCAUAUAUAUCAUAAAUAAUUAAUGUGAAAAAUCAUUCAAUACGUCCCUUAUAUUUUAUUAAAUGGUUUUUUUGUUUCUUCACUUUUAAAAUGUUAGUUUUACAUCUAUUACAAAUUCAAGUUAGUAAAAUUUGGUCCCAAUCUAAAUUUUUGACUACUUUUUAGCCUAAGAUCGCCAUGUGACCUAUAUGCAAUUAUUUUUUAUGUAAAAAAAAAUGUCAAAUACCACUUUUGUAGUGAUAAAAAUAAAUAUGGAUCGGGUCAAAUUCCAUUUUUGUUUUAAAAAAUGAAUAUGGAUCGAAUAAUUUAUUUAACUACAAAUGGGAUGUAACAUUGUUUAAUUCUAACAAUUGUUAAGUGGAUAGGAACACGAAUAGUAAUAAAUUUUGGAUUUUGUAAACAAUUUAGAGCUAAAUUAUAAUUUUUUAAAGGUGAAAUGAUAGAAACUUAAAUAUGAGGUAACAUUGAAAUCUAAAAGUAAGUAUGAGGGCUAAAUAGUAAAAUGUCAAAAAGUAUAGUGCGUUAAUCGUUUCCGAUAAUUAUAUGCUAAUGCUGGGCCGCAUUUUUUUUUUUAUUUUAAAGAAAAGCAAGACUCAAAACGGUUUAGUAAAAACAUGUCAACGGUUCGUUGGUCCGGCCAAACGAUCUAGUUGGUUUUUACUAUCUAGACCGAUUUUUUGAUCCAUCUUUAGUUUGAGACUUGACUUAGUUCAGAAAGCUACUCGAUCAACAGUUGAAUCAGCUCACUCGAACAGUCAAAACUGAGUUUUAUACUAUUAGUUUUUAUUUAAAUAUUUUCAAUACCCAUUUAUAAGAUUAUGGCACUUGUAAGUUCUCCAUGAACCGAAAAUAAAAAGAUAUUUGUGUUAUAGUUGAAAUGAUGAGUGAAGAAAUUUACUGAUGCUGUCAAUAAUGUAUCGACGGGAUACUUGAGCAACGAAUAAUACUUUUCUUUGGGUAAACAAUCAACUAUUAUUGAUAAAGCACAUAUUACACAUAUCUGUAAAAGGAUGGGUAGUAUUUGGCACGUCUUCAAUUCGCCACACAGGUAGCUGAACUCAUCUAUAAAAGGGGUCGAUCUGUGGGCAACCAAAUACACACCAAACCAAAAAAUACACACGAAAGCAAGCCUGCAAAAACAACCGAGAGGAGAAAAAAUGGCUCCCUGUUUUAGAGCACUAGUCAUAGCAAUAACAUCGCUGUUGAUGAUAUCUUCAGUGAUCAGGUCUUCCGAUGCUGCUGGAAUUGCCACCUACUGGGGCCAAAACACUGACGAAGGAAGCCUGGAAGACGCAUGCCGGAGAGGUACCUAUGACUACGUGAAUCUUGCCUUUCUGAUAAAUUAUGGCAAUGGCCAGACACCAGAAUUGAACUUAGCUGGGCAUUGUGAGCGAAGCGCUUGCUCCUCGCUUAGUUCUGAGAUAAAAGCUUGCCAGAAACGAGGCAUCCAAGUGCUUCUUUCUCUCGGUGGAGCUCCAAACCUUUCUUCACGCGAUGAUGCUAAGGAAGUCGCGUCCUAUCUCUAUAAUAAUUUCCUUGGCGGUGAAUCACAAAAUCGUCCAUUAGGCGAUGCUGUCUUAGACGGUAUAGACUUUCAUAUCCAAGGUGGAAGUAGGGAUUUCUUGGAUGAUCUCGCCAAGGCGCUCUCAGAAUAUAGAACAACAGAGAGAAGGGUGCACUUAUCUGCAGCACCACAAUGUUUCUAUCCUGACUAUUAUCUUGACGCUGCCAUCAGAACUGGCCUCUUUGAUUAUGUGUGGGUGCAAUUUUACAACAAUCCGCCUUGUCAGUAUAGUAUGGGCAAUGCCAACAACCUCAUCAACAGUUGGAGCUCUCAUUGGGCUUCACAUCCAGGAGUUAACAAACUAUUCCUGGGAUUACCUGCAUCCCCUGAAGCCGCUCCUUCUGGCGGUUACAUUCCACAUCGGAUUCUUAUUCGUGAAGUUCUUCCCCAAAUCCAGGACUAUCCCAACUAUGGAGGCGUCAUGCUUUGGAACGUAUACUAUGACGAGAAUUAUAGUCAGGCAAUCAGGCCUUAUGUUAACCCUGAAACUCUGACUUUUGAUCGCAGGUCCACGAUUAAGUACCCAAGAAAGUCCAUGAUAAAGUCUUUUGUGGAUGAGUAAGUUCCUCUCAUUAUCUUAUGAGAGAUGAAAUAAGUAUAAUAUAAUCCCGGUGGUUUGAGCCAGAGAUAAUGUUAAUAAAUAAGUUCCUCUCAUUAUCCUGUGAGAGAUGAAAUGUAAUCCGGGUUGCUUUUGCAAGAGAUAAAUUGAAUAAAUAAAUAAAACAUGGGUUUUCAAUCCCCAAACUAAGGGCAGUCGCGUUUGAUUUUUUUUAAUUCGUGUUUGUUCUUGAGUAAAAACUAUCACGAACAGUAUCAUUAGUUUUAAUUUCCCCUUACUCUUCAGAAAAAAAAGGGUAUUGAAAAAAAAAAAACAUGCAAAAGGUACUAGAUCAAAAUCUCUCACUCGCUAGACAAAGAAUUUCAAGAUAACAGCCCUUGAUCCAAUCCGCAUUCCAAUGCAAGUUCCUGGUUUUACUUAGUAUGAGGAACCUUGGGCCAUGCGAGAUCAAAUAAAAAAAUAAUAUCAUCAGAUAUUUAUUCUCCAAAAUCAAUAUAUUUAUUCAAGAGCAUUUUACAUUUCAGUACACCUUUACUGUUGAGAAUAUUACUGUUCUGUUAGCUUCUAUGCAAAGUUUGUUUCAUAUGCAAUAACGUACUUAGUAACUAAACUUCCAUCACUUGCAGAUAUUAAUCCAGGAAAAAGAUGAAUAAUUGUUUUCUUUUAUAUGGAUUAAUCUUCUAUACAUUGACAGUGUAUACACUUUCAUCAUUAGAUGCAUGACACAUAAUCCGAAUUUGAAUUUGAAACUCAAAUAUUGUAUAUAUGUCGUAUAUUCAACUGUGAUGGCGUAUAUACCGUCAAUGUAUAUAAGAUUUAUUUUUUAUAUAUAUAUACACAUAUAAGGAAAGCAAUGACGUUCAAAACUUAAGAUCGAUGUACAAUUCAGUUUUGCUUAAAUUCUUAGCUCGAGGCCUGUUCAAAUCUUGUAAAAAGGUACUGGUAAUAAAUGAAAAUCUAAAGUUUGCUCUAAGGUAGGUAAUAUUAUAGCAAUUGGUCCUCUUCUUAAUUUAGUUCUUCCAGUAAAUUUGAUAUAUCGUUUACGAUCAUCCAGCAUUAUGGAUAUUGCUUUCUCUUUGUGAAAAUUUUUAGUUUUGAGCAAAGUCUUUGGUUUUUAGUCAAGUUCUUGCGUUGGACAGCUCUACAUCUUGGAACUGGUGAUUCGUACAAAUAUACAGUAUCUUGGAAAUAUUAGACUUUUUUUUUUAAAAAAAAAAACCUUAUUUUAUUAAUGAAGCAAAAAGGAAUACAUGAAUGCGUGUUCAGGCUGCACCACUCGACCUACAGCUAGGCCUAGAGCUGUUAAACGAACCGAGUUGUUCGGUAGCUCGGUUCGUUUCGACUCGUUCGAAACCUUAAAUGAACCGAGUUCGAACGAAUGUUUUUGUUCGAUUAAUAAUCGAGCGAACACGAGCAUGUUCGCGAGUUUUAACGAACGUUCGCGAACAUGCUAAACGAACGUUCGCGAACACGAGCAUGUUCGCGAGUUUUAACGAACGUUCGCGAACAUGGACAUAAUUAUCAUUUGAUAAAUUUUAGGGUUAAUUUUAUGGCUGGACUUUUAUGUUUGGAGGGCAAAUUACUUUGUUUUAUUUGUUAUUUUUAUGUUAAUGUUAGUUAUAUAGUUAAUGAAUAAUAGAAUUUAGUCACUUAGUGCUUUAAUUGUUUUUGAGAAUAGUUAAUAAUUUGCAUGACAUAUUUAAGGCUUAAAAUAAUUUGGAUUCGAGCAUUUCGAGUAUGUUCGCGAACGGCUCAUUUAUGUUAAAUGAGUCGAACACGAACUCGAAUUCGAACACGAAUUUUGCUUAACGAGCCGAACACGAACACAUGUUUGAAGUUCGAAAAUUAACGAACGAACACGAACGUUGUUCGAACUGCUUAACGAACAGAGCUCAAACAUGAGAUACUCGGUUCGAUUCGGUUCGUUUACAGCUCUAGCUAGGCCCCAAGGACCUCUUAGAAAAUCGAAAACUCCCAAUCCCCAGUCUAUCGACCUGACAUAGGCCCCUCACCGACCUUGGCAAGGACGUGAAGGAGAGCAAGAGACAAAAGUUGCUGGAGCGGCUACCCAGCGAUGCCAACGAAUCCGCCACAGCAUUACCUUCUCGAUGGAUAUGUUGAAAGGACGAUAUAGCUGGCGAGAGUUGCCGAAGAUGACGGAGGAUUGGCAAUAGCGAAACCGGAACGCCCCAUACCCCUGUAGAACGUCGAUCAGGAUCUUUGAGUCGCCCUCCACCACGACUGGGCCAUGGCGGAAUAGGUUACACAAUUCAAGCCCCGUGCACAGUGUGAGGCCCCGAAAAAAAUGAGUUUGAGAACCCGGAAAUUUUAAUUUUCUAGGGUUUAUUUUGUUUAAAACAAAACCCGCAUUUUCUACAUUUUCUUGAUUAGAAAAAAUCCCAGAUAAAGUUUAUGAGCAAAAAUAGUUUUAAAAUGAUUUUUCUAGUAUCGGUUAGUUUUUGAGAAAUUAAAAGCGUAUUUUGGACGUGGGACCCACUAGUGCGAAAAGUUCGGAAAAUUCGGCCAAUUAGGUUAAAUUCCGGAUACUGUGUAAAAUUUAUCGGGUGUUAAGAGAUAAGUAGAGUGUGUGAAAUGAUUGAUGAGAGAGAGAAAAGAAAGGAUAGGAAUGCAUUUAUUGUAGUGCCACAUGUCACCAUGAUAUUGGUUAGGACUUAAGACUACUAUUCAUGGUUUUGACCUUUUGACUUAUGGAUUAAAUAUCUUCAAAAUUCACAAAAAAAUUACCAUUUUUCACCCCUUGAUGGCCGGCCCUCUCUAGCAAGAAGAAAGACAAAACUCUUCAACAUCUUGGCAAAUUCCUAGCUCAAAUCAUCCAAACUACUUACCUAAAUUAGUUUUUACUCCAUAAAAUCCUUCCACUUGGUAUUAGUGAGUGUUUUGGUGAAGCUUUUGGAGAACUUAAGGUGUCCAACAUCUUCCUCUCUCUUGUUUACUUGGUAAGUAGUGAUUGACUAUCCUCUUACACCUAAUGAUGUUGAAUUUAUGCCUAAUGGUGGCUAUUGUGUUAGAAAUUGUGGUUUAUUUCUUGGUUUGAAGUGAUUUGGUUAAGUUUUUAUUUUUUUGAGGAAUUUUCUGGUUUUAUGUGAUCUUGAUGGUGUGGUUGUUUUUGAUGGUUGGUAAUAAGGGGCUAUGGAUCUAGUAGGUGCAUAUGAUAGGAAAUUGCAACUAAUUUUGGGUUUGGAUUGAAUUGUGGAAAGUUAGGGUUUUAUCACCCCUAAUUCUGUCCGGUUUUAGAUCAUAGGGUUAGAGGCCGAAUUGGACUUUGCUCAAAACAUGAAACUUGUAGGUAUUGAUGAGUUUGAAGUGCCUGCAAAAUUUCAGGGCAUUUGGAGUAGUGUAGAGUGAGUUAUGCCGUUUUUACUGUUGCUGUUCUGGGUGAUCAGAAUGUGCGAACUGUGAUUGUAAUCGUCUGUUUUGACUGGAAUUGCUUUGGAUUUGGAUGUUGGUGUCUUCUGAUGAAAUGUAGCUUGAUGCCUUAGCUAUCAUAUGCCUUUGGAAUCAAUGCAUUUGGACCUGUGUAACUGAGUUGGACGAAUUACAGCAUUGUGUGAUUUGGGAACCUGCAAUUACGAUUCUGGUUUGGUAUUCUGCAUUUUUGACCUAGUUGUGCUAGGAUUUGGACUGAGUGACCUUCUACAUUGUUGUAGCCCUGGUUCUUAGCUUCGAAACGGUGGGUCUUGGACCUCCAUCCGAUACUCGUAAUACCUUUGGUGCCAUUACCGCAAAAGGACGUCAAAACUGUUUUCUGGUUUUGAGCAAUUGUGGUUAAUUGCUUUGUGAUUGGGUUUGAUUGUAGGAUGGAAAGGAUGAAUUUAUGGGGAAAUGCUGUCCGAUUUUUAAUAGCGUUGGUUACCUUAAGUUUCAUGUGAAAGGCUUGGACUUGAAUGAUGGAAUUGGCUAUAUUGGACGAGGAUUGUGAGCCGUGGAGGUGAGUGACCUUAAACUACUUGCAACGUUACUUUAAAAUGUUUCUUGCAUCGUUUCUUUGAUUGCAUAUCCUGUGUGCCGGCAUAUAAGUUCUUGACAUGUUUUGGCUCAAAUGAGUACUUGGAAUUCGUGUGCUAGACUCCGACGUCUCCUCCACCGUUUAAUGUUCCUGUAGGGCACCAAUGGGCUCAAUGUUCAAUGUUAAUGUUCAAUGUUAAAUGAUUGUUUGGAGCGUUGGACGUCUAAGUACCAUGAUUUCACUGGCUCAUGAGAGAAGUGAAAGUGCAUUGAUUGUUGAAGCAUGACAUUAUUGAAAUGAACGAUUGUGAAACUGAUUUGAUAACUGAAUUUCUUGGUUACUCGCUGAGCUUCUAGCUCACCCCAAAAUGUUUUAUUCCCCUCCACAGGGCUCAAGGCGAAGGAGUGGCUUGUAGUGUUUAUCAUGGAUUAUCUCAUGUAUGGACUGAAUUUGGAUUUCCUUUUGUGUAAUCGUUCAUAUUGGGAUUGUAUUGAACGUUUAGAAUUGCUUGGAUGUGUAAUAUGCUAGUUUUGGACUUCCUCCUGUAUCAUAAUUGGGAUCAUGGAUCAGAGUGGCGCAGUGGAAGCGUGGACGCUUCGCUUUUGAUAUGUAAAGUUUGGGAACCUUUGAUGUAUAUUUGAUAUAUAUAUCUUGAAAUUCCAUUGAGAAUUGUAGUGAACGACUGAGUCCUGGCGAGAGCUGGGCAGGCGGCCCGCCGAACCCUCUGGUUCGCCUUAGGGGGAGGUGGGGCCGUUACAGUUGGUAUCACAGCUUAGGCUUCAGAUCUCUAUAGUGUAUCCUAGGCUUGAAGUUUAGGAUGCCGGACUGUGGGUUUGGUUUGAAGUAUUAGUGAUUCUUGCGGGAUGUCUUGACUUGAUUAGUACAAGAGGGAAUGACGAGGACGACAUUCUUUUAAGGAGGGGAGAUUGUGACGCCCCGAAAAAAAAUGAGUUUGAGAACCCGGAAAUUUUCUAAUUUUCUAGGGUUUAUUUUGUUUAAAACAAAACCCGCCUUUUCUACAUUUUCUUGAUUAGAAAAAAUCCCAGAUAAAGUUUAUGAGCAAAAAUAGUUUUAAAAUAAUUUUUCUAGUAUCGGUUAGUUUUUGAGAAAUUAAAAGCGUAUUUUGGACGUGGGACCCACUAGUGCGAAAAGUUCAGAAAAUUCGGCCAAUUAGGUUAAAUUCCGGAUACUAUGUAAAAUUUAUCGGGUGUUAAGAGAUAAGUAGAGUGUGUGAAAUGAUUGAUGAGAGAGAGAAAAGAAAGGAUAGGAAUGCAUUUAUUGUAGUGCCACAUGUCACCAUGAUAUUGGUUAGGACUUAAGACUACUAUUCAUGGUUUUGACCUUUUGACUUAUGGAUUAAAUGUCUUCAAAAUUCACAAAAAAUUACCAUUUUUCACCCCUUGAUGGCCGGCCCUCUCUAGCAAGAAGAAAGACAAAACUCUUCAACAUCUUGGCAAAUUCCUAGCUCAAAUCAUCCAAACUACUUACCUAAAUUAGUUUUUACUCCAUAAAAUCCUUCCACUUGGUGUUAGUGAGUGUUUUGGUGAAGCUUUUGGAGAACUUAAGGUGUCCAACAUCUUCCUCUCUCUUGUUUACUUGGUAAGUAGUGAUUGACUAUCCUCUUACACCUAAUGAUGUUGAAUUUAUGCCUAAUGGUGGCUAUUGUGUUAGAAAUUGUGGUUUAUUUCUUGGUUUGAAGUGAUUUGGUUAAGUUUUUAUUUUUUUGAGGAAUUUUCUGGUUUUAUGUGAUCUUGAUGGUGUGGUUGUUUUUGAUGGUUGGUAAUAAGGGGCUAUGGAUCUAGUAGGUGCAUAUGAUAGGAAAUUGCAACUAAUUUUGGGUUUGGAUUGAAUUGUGGAAAGUUAGGGUUUUAUCACCCCUAAUUCUGUCCGGUUUUAGAUCAUAGGGUUAGAGGCCGAAUUGGACUUUGUUCAAAACAUGAAACUUGUAGGUAUUGAUGAGUUUGAAGUGCCUGCAAAAUUUCAGGGCAUUUGGAGUAGUGUAGAGUGAGUUAUGCCGUUUUUACUGUUGCUGUUCUGGGUGAUCAGAAUGUGCGAACUGUGAUUGUAAUCGUCUGUUUUGACUGGAAUUGCUUUGGAUUUGGAUGUUGGUGUCUUCUGAUGAAAUGUAGCUUGAUGCCUUAGCUAUCAUAUGCCUUUGGAAUCAAUGCAUUUGGACCUGUGUAGACUGAGUUGGACGAAUUACAGCAUUGUGUGAUUUGGGAACCUGCAAUUACGAUUCUGGUUUGGUAUUCUGCAUUUUUGACCUAGUUGUGCUAGGAUUUGGACUGAGUGACCUUCUACAUUGUUGUAGCCCUGGUUCUUAGCUUCGAAACGGUGGGUCUUGGACCUCCAUCCGAUACUCGUAAUACCUUUGGUGCCAUUACCGCAAAAGGACGUCAAAACUGUUUUCUGGUUUUGAGCAAUUGUGGUUAAUUGCUUUGUGAUUGGGUUUGAUUGUAGGAUGGAAAGGAUGAAUUUAUGGGGAAAUGCUGUCCGAUUUUUAAUAGCGUUGGUUACCUUAAGUUUCAUGUGAAAGGCUUGGACUUGAAUGAUGGAAUUGGCUAUAUUGGACGAGGAUUGUGAGCCGUGGAGGUGAGUGACCUUAAACUACUUGCAACGUUACUUUAAAAUGUUUCUUGCAUCGUUUCUUUGAUUGCAUAUCCUGUGUGCCGGCAUAUAAGUUCUUGACAUGUUUUGGCUCAAAUGAGUACUUGGAAUUCGUGUGCUAGACUCCGACGUCUCCUCCACCGUUUAAUGUUCCUGUAGGGCACCAAUGGGCUCAAUGUUCAAUGUUAAUGUUCAAUGUUAAAUGAUUGUUUGGAGCGUUGGACGUCUAAGUACCAUGAUUUCACUGGCUCAUGAGAGAAGUGAAAGUGCAUUGAUUGUUGAAGCAUGACAUUAUUGAAAUGAACGAUUGUGAAACUGAUUUGAUAACUGAAUUUCUUGGUUACUCGCUGAGCUUCUAGCUCACCCCAAAAUGUUUUAUUCCCCUCCACAGGGCUCAAGGCGAAGGAGUGGCUUGUAGUGUUUAUCAUGGAUUAUCUCAUGUAUGGACUGAAUUUGGAUUUCCUUUUGUGUAAUCGUUCAUAUUGGGAUUGUAUUGAACGUUUAGAAUUGCUUGGAUGUGUAAUAGGCUAGUUUUGGACUUCCUCCUGUAUCAUAAUUGGGAUCAUGGAUCAGAGUGGCGCAGUGGAAGCGUGGACGCUUCGCUUUUGAUAUGUAAAGUUUGGGAACCUUUGAUGUAUAUUUGAUAUAUAUAUCUUGAAAUUCCAUUGAGGAUUGUAGUGAACGACUGAGUCCUGGCGAGAGCUGGGCAGGCGGCCCGCCGAACCCUCUGGUUCGCCUUAGGGGGAGGUGGGGCCGUUACACACAGUGCCCUAGCCUCAGCUUGCAAUGACGUCACAUUUCUAUACAGCUCCGAAUAUGCAAAAAUCACCCGACCCUUAGAAUCCCUCGGUACUCCCCCUCCUCCGCCUGUGAAUGGGUGAUGACAGACCCAUCAAAAUUGAGCUUCACCACCGCUGCCGUUGGGUGGACCCACCGCACAUACCGCACAUACCGCACCUGGACAGGGAGACGGACUUCACCAAGGCGUCGGAUCACCGCCUGCCAGCUACACCCCCGCACCUGACAUCGAAGGAAUGGAAACUGAGAUCCAAGUAAGUCCCUAAAGUCACCCAAUAUUCUAUUCGAGAUGAUCUCCGCUGAAAGGACCUGUCCAUCGUAAACAAACCCACAUCGCGCCUUCCACAAAUGCCAUAAAAUAAUUGCUGGCCCAACGUGCAAUACCCAUCGCAAGAUCCAAUGAUGCGACUGUGCAAACCACCAGGACAUACACCGAUCACGGAUCGAUCUGCCGAGAGAAGAGACUCCAAAUGGCGAUCCAAAGAAACCCCAGAUUGCCGUGGGAAUGUCCCCCAUGGAAAAAAUAUGUUGCAUGGUCUCAAGUUGCGGCUCGCUACAACAGAAUUAUAUCUUGGAAAUAUUAGACAUAAAGAGCAGGAUCUUUAGCAUGAUUUGUAAACUAUAAUUAAGAGAUAAAUUCUAAAUUGGCAUACCUUGUGACAUUGAAGACAUUUUGGAGAAGAAUUCUACAGCUCUGUAUCACCAAGCCUUUCAAUCUCCAAGGUUGUAAUGAUACGAACUCGACCCAACAAGAACCUGUCUUGAAGAACCAAAUUGAUCAGGCAGCGGAAGGAUCUAUCUUGAUUAGGUUAUGGAACAAUAACUACCUUGCUAGAUUUAAAGAGAACUCGUCUCUAGAAACCUAGUGGAUUAGUUAUUGACUUGAAAAAAACAAGAUGAUGUGAUCAUCUUGUCUUGAACACCACAAGUAUCCAAGCUAAUACUUGAUACAGUUCAAGAAGAAACUCAAGUUCCAUCAAGGAACUCCAUAAAAGGAGACAACUCUCUUUUUAUUAAUUCAUCUUCAACAUCAUAUUUUUUGAAUAGUUAAAUUAAGUUGGCUAUUUAUAACCUUACAAGACUCAAAACCCUAAUCUAAAUUGAAAACAAUACAAGUUUCCUUAUUUGACUUGACUUCUAAACUUGACACAACUUCCUAAAUAAAUUUGGAAGCAAUUUAACUACUUUCCUAAAACUCUAAUUCAACUAGAAUAGGAAACUAGCUAACUCAAAUUGGCUUAACUAUGGUCAACAUGACCUUAGCCUUUAUUCCCUAAUUCAAACAACUUACUUAACUCUCAAAUUAACUCUAAUUAACAACUAACAUUGCUGAAAACUCAAUUAAAUAAAUGAUAACAAGAAAUAAGCAUGACACGGGGUUGGAUCUUCAAUGAUUCUCGAGCCCGAUUGCACCAUCAACCAUCAAAUGAAUUUUCCUUGAAUUUGAAGGGAAUCCGAAUCUUCAUGUUCUCAUCAUGUAAACUAUCGCUUUAUGCUAUCCAGCCUUCCCUCACCUAACUCCCUUUUUUGUUAUUUUAGUGAUGGGUAAAAAUAACGUAUGUCAGAGUGGUGAGAAGGACCAAGAGCCCUAGAACAUUUAUAGAGUCACAAUCCCUCCCAUCAUGGGAUAAUGAUAAACUCUAAUUUUCUUAUCGUACUUUAUUUGUUAACCAUAAUGAUAAGAUACAGUUUAAAAUUACUGUAAUUAUCAGAUAAAGUACCACAAUAAAUAUCAUAUAAUAUGUUCACAUACAAUGAAUAUGGGACUCCCUACUUCCUCCAAUCAUCUAUUCUCAUUAGAGCUCUGUAAUUGGUUAUUCAUAUUUAUUCAUAUGGUUAUUCAUCCUUCUAAUUAACGGGAGUUAUCUUAAUAAUAUUAUACGUGGUCAUGUAGGCCACAUAAAUAUUCUAAUAGGAAAAUCUUCUUAAUUUGUAUAGUAUCUUGCACAAUCCAACUUGGAAAGUCGUACUACUAAUUUGGGAAGCAAAAGAAACGGAGGAUCGCGCCUAAUCUUUGGCCAUUUUGUUCAAUAUUUCUCCCAUUUUACAUUAACCCCUAGUUUGGUAUGUGAAAAUGUCCAGAAUAAAAAAAAUCUUUCCACUUGGAAUACCUUUUCACCAUGAUGGUAGGGAGAAAAAUUUAUCAUUUUACUGUCUAGUAUAUAAGGCAAAAUAGAAUGUUCAUUCAUUUUUAAGUGUUUGAAAUAAUCAAUAUUAAAAUACCAAAAUACAUUACAGUCGAUACAAAUUUGAUUUAAUUACCCUAAAUUAGUUUACGGGACACAACAUGCUUUAUUACUUUUGUCUUGUUGGUUCUAUUGUGUUAUUUGUUUGUUUACAUGGAAUUUUGACAUUUUUUGUAUUCGAAAUAAUUGAUAAUUGAUAUUAAAAUAGUUCAAUUGUAAUAAUUGAUUCAUUCUAGAAUAUAGACCUUUACAUUCAACUGUUGCAUCUUCUGGCCAUAUAAUUAAUAUAAAUUAUAUGAAUCUAAACAAAUAUAAUAUAAUUUCGAUUCUUAUUAAAAUUUGACACUCCUAAGAAGUUGUAUGAAUUAUCAAAAAAUUGAACAAAGUACUUAUAUUGCUUGUACGCAAAAUAUUUAAGAUUGACGAACAAAACGAUGGCCUGCUGCCUACAUUCUUUCACUUUCUCACUCUCUAUCUCUUCCUCUAGAGAGAGAAAGAGAAAAAAAUGGUGGUACAGAACGGACUCUCUCAAUUUUUUCUUUUGCCUCCCUGAUUUUCUUUUUCCAAGGUUUCUUGCCCUUACUUUCUUCUACCCAACUAAUUGCCCAAUUCUUGUUGGGGCUGAACCUAUCUAUCUAUGUGUGAUUCAAGAAAGAAAUAAAACUAAAACUGCUGCUGCGCGCCUUAAUUGGUCCUCCGUCGUCUUUGCCACUGAACGGAUUCCUUCAUUUUUUUUUUAGGUGUGGCUAGAUAUUGAAAGGGUUGAAGAAAAUUUAAGAUUGAAUUUGAGUCUUUGCACUUGCAAUUAAUUUGUAGGUGUUCUUGGUUUCUUACAGUUGAUGACGGAUUAUUACUGACGAGUUCCAUGGGAACUAUCUUCAGUUACAAAUAGAAAUAAACUGGAAAUUAUUUCAUAGAAUGGUACCUAAGAUAAUGAUUGUGAAAUCAGUAUUCAUCGCAAGCAGAUUGUCAUAAUUAAAGAUGUAAAGAUAUAUAAGACUGUAGCCAGUUUGUGAUCGCUAUAAAAAUAGAAAAUAAUAUAAUAUAUCAUUUGUCCAAACAUAAUAAUUCCAACUUCACACAAGUUAAACGAAUUCAUUUAGGAUUAAGUCGUUAAUGCCUUUGAGAAAAAAAGAAUAACUUAGUUUAGUUAGAUAAAAUAUUUUUAUAUUUAUUAAAUUAUUUUUAAUUCAUAAACGGUGAUCAAGUCAACCCGUUGGUGACUUGAAUUCGACCUUUUUUUUUUCAGGUUCAUCGGGUUCGACCCAAUUCUAACUCAAACCCAUUAAUUUCAACCCAAACCCAUUAAUUUCAUGUUAGAUUCAUAUUAUAUUUUCAGGUCGUAUCGAAAAUUGCCUCCUCUAGAUUUAACUUACCAAAAAAGAAAAAGUAAAUUUCAGCUGCAAAGCUUUGAGUAAUUUUGAAGUGGGAAAAUCAUUUGAAAAGCUCUUCACAUUUCACUAAAUGAAUUUUUUUUUUGUCUUUCACUUUUAAAAUAAUAAAUUUACGUUUCUUAAAAAAUCAAAUCUGUAAAAUUAAGUUCAACCUAGGUUUUCGACUACUUUUUACACUGAAUUUAUCAUGUAACCCAAAUAUGAUCAUUUUUUCGGAACAGAAAGGUUAAAUCUCAUUUGUAGUCGAACAAAUGGCUUGAUCCAAAAGAGUAAGAUCUGACCUAAAUCAUAUUUAUUUUUUCCUGAAAAGUGGGAUCUGAUUUAAUUCAUAUUCAUUUUUAUCCUAAAAAAAUGAAAUUUGACUUUUUUAUACAUAAAAAAUGAUUGCAUGUGAACCACAUGGUGAUUUCAAGCUAAUGUUUUUGGUAAAAAACUUAGAUUCGAACAAAAUUUUGUUAACUUGAAUUUGUAAGGGACAUAAAGCUAAUAUUUUAAAAAUGAAGAACCAAAAAAUUUAUUUAACAAAAUAUAGGAGACGUUUUGAAAGAUUUUCACUUUUGAAGUUCAGUCUUUUGAAUACUGCCUAUCCUUUGAUUUCCUAUUGUACUGCUUUUCAGUGAUUUAUUGAGAGCUCCUAUUUGGAAAUGGUCAAACCUAACAACGGAUCUCAGCGUUAUUUGAAACCAUGAAAACUGCAAAGACAAGUUGGUCAUUAAAAAAUCUACUACAGCCAACGACAUUAGCCUUAUUUGAAUUGCAAGUUUUCACAAACAAAUUUUGAAAUAUUUUUUAGUCACAUAUUUAUCUUAUAGAUGUUAUAUUAAUUAUUAUAAUAUAUUUUUCUAUGAAACUCUAUGAAAUUAUAUACGUUCUAUUAUCUUAUAUACGUCAUGUCACUAUAUAGUAUAUUUUUCUAAGAAACUCUGUAAACUUACAAUUCAAACUGUAACUUUUCAUUUUAGUGCGUCCUUUCUAAGUGAUUUUAGUGCGUCCACUUCAAUUCAUGCAUGAUAGUCCAGAAUUCUGUAGAAGGACAAUAAUUUAGGAAGGACUGGAAAAUUCAAUGGAAACAAGACAUGUCGCAUUCGGAAGUGCGAUAAUGUAAUCAACCUCACUAUUAAAAGAAGAACAAGAUUGUAUAAAUCCAUACAUCAAAUCCGUAUUCAAUAGCUUUAGUCGAAAUUCGUGCUCCCCAAGAAAGUACAAGUGAACUUCUUAUUCAUCAAAUGUGCAUAAACAAUAUGAUGUGGCCUAGAGAAAAGUUCAAGCUAAGAUGCUCAAGUAUAAGAUAAAAUUGAGUGAAGGGAGAAGGUUGAUUUAGACCUAUUCAUCAUCAAUUUUGAUUUACAUAUUCCAAUCUGUUGCCACAAAAAAAAAUCAAGCACAGGGAAAAUUAUUUUAAUAUAUAUAAAAAUAUGUGAAAAGAGGAAGAGAAUAAAUACACAAUAUAACUUAAAUAAUUUUAUAAACUAAACUCAACAUUAAUACUCACAAAUAACAAUUUGAGAAGCUUUCUCUCAAUGUCCUUCAAGAAAACAAUGAGAUGGUACUACUCAAUUUAUAGAGUAUCCAACGGACUAUAGUUACAAAGGAAUACGACAAUGGGCAAAUAUAUAUAUAUAUAUAUAUAUAUAUAUAUAUAUAUAUAUAUUGCAAUUCUGAACAGGCGAGGAGUAUCCCUCUCCCAAAAUGAUAAAUGUAACUUGCUAAACUUGAAUGACCAGACAUUAGGAAAUAUUUCUUUGCCGCAUCAACUUCUAAAUUCUUCAACUCACUAGACUAACCAAAAAAAAAAAAGAGUUGCCACAUAACUAAUUUAAUUUAAUAAUUAGUCUUGGUUUAAUUACCUGCUGGACUUGGAUUUUAUCUCGGGAUAAAACUCAAAUCCAACAAAAUAACGGUUGGUGGGAUAAAACUCAAAUCUAACAUUGUCUACACAACCAUUAAUCAUCUUUCUUGGGCAAUUACAUAAUCAAUCCAAUCUUGCUAAUUGUCAGCCUUGAAGGACAACGCUUGGAAAUUAAUUAACAGCUUAUCAUAUGCACUACAAAAUACAGAAGUUUAAUCCAUAGGUUUAUUUGUAGACCAUGUAAUCAAUUGGUGAGCCACACUCACCAAUUGAUUCAGUGAUGUAUGUUUAUAUUACUAGCAUUAGAUUAUAAAGAAAAUUGAUGUGGCUAUAGAGUUCAAAAAUAUCUUUCAAACCCGUUUAGAUUAGGUUAGGAUACGCCAAGAACGAGAUAUGGGAGGAUAACAGUUGCAUGUUUUUAAUUGUCGGCUGUCUAUUCUGUAUCGACGUGGAGACUUGGAGCCGCGAGCUUAGAAAUUAGUGACUUUCAUAACUUAGGACAGGUUAGGUAAGUACAAUAAUUGCCCCAUCCAUUAUUACGCACUCAAAGGGACCCAUUUCACAUUAUCCUGCUCGGGAUGUUUGCAUUUAAUUUGCUGGGCAUUUAUCUGAAAGGAAUAUUCUUUUAGAUGCGUUACAUGCCAAACGAUAGCAAUAAUUAGAACUGUACAAUUUGUAUGAAGAGUUGGAGUCAGUCCCAUUCGCUCUUGAGCUGCUGUGUUUCACAUUUCUAUGUUGCACUACUAUUUUAUGACUCGUCGAGAGAGACAUUCUAUUGUGUCCGGAAAAAAAAAAGAAUUGGAUUUUUAUUCAUUAUUGCAUCGGAUAUGUCAUUGGUGGAGUCAGAACCUUGUGAUAAGGGUGCAAUGACCAAUUUCAGUGUAAAUCAUACUUUUAGGCUUAGUUUGGGAGUUUAGGAUAGAAAAGAAAGGAAGGGAAAACUCAAGUUAUGAGAGAAGAGAAGAGAAGAAGGGAUUGUUAUAUUGUUUGGGAGCGUUGAAAAUUAGUGGAAUGAUUUUGGAUAUGAAAAUCAUUAAAUAUCUGUUUAAUACCUUUUUAAGGACAAAUAGGUAUUUUAAAAAAAUUGAUAAGCUUCUGAUGCGACUGCCGAGAGCGCGUUCCGAGCUGAGCUGCGCUAGGCUGAACGAACUAAGGAUGACUGAACUGGUACUAGCGGGGUGAGCGAGCUGACCUGCAAGAAAGACCGGGGCUGGUUCCUCGGUGUAGCUCUGACGGUCAAGUCAGUACGAGUUUAAGAGUAGGGUAACAACGUAGAUAUUGUUGAUGGCGUACCUUGCUUUGUCUUGUGGUGGUGUAUUUAUAAGAUCCCGAGUAGUAGUUUCCCUAUAGGAUUAGAAGUCCGACUAGAAAGGGAGUCUUUCUAGGGUUUCGUCUGCUAAUUUCGAAAGGUUCGGGGGCUGCGACCCACCAGGCCCAUCCAAUUGGGAGGCGGCGCCCAUGCGCGAACUGUCCUCCCUCCUGCCCGAGCUGUUUGGCCGAACUGCCAGGUCACAAUGUCCGAACUGACACGUGGCUCCUGCGGAUUGGCCCCACUACACUAGCCCCCCUUUGAGUCUAUAGUCAUCGAAAGAUCGCAUGAAUCAGGACCGAAUUUCGAGGUGACGGGUCAGUUCGGUGUGGGACCCAUAAUCCCACGAUUGCUGCCUUUGCUCGAGUAACCGUCACUUCAAGCGUUACGUCCCUUCAUAAUGACGGUUACCAGCCCAAUCGUCGCGCAAUACAGCGGUCUUUCGAUAAAUAAAUUUUAAUUUUAAUUUGGGACGCUUGACAGGUGCUGAACCUGUGCAAUAAUAAUAAUAAAUAAACCUAACUACCACCAACGCAGUCAAUAACCAAUUCUAGGUACUGGAACAGAGACUCUAGGUGUGCAAUGGGUUACUUGAUUCACCCUGUUCCCAAAGAGUUUGCUUAAUCCGAUAUACCAGAAUUAAUUAGUUGACAAAAUUUACUAACUAGUAGACAGUGGCAAGCAGGGUCGUCUCCUCAGGGAUUGGAGAUAUUUGUCUCUUUGAAGUUCCAAUUAGUAAAAAUGGGGGUUUUAUCGGAAUAAAACUAAAAAUAUUUAAGCAAUUCAACUAAAAAUAAAUAAUUAACUAGCACGAAUGUAGACAGGAAUUAAAUCAAGAAUAGAUAAAUUCUAACCAAGAAUACAACUACUCAGACACAGUCCAUUCAUCCAAUCAUUGAUGCAAGAGAUGUUCACUUAAUUUAUUAAUAGAUUAGUUAUAGUCGCCGACGAGCUCUGACGACCAAUUUUUCCUUAAUUUAUUGAUAACCAAGGUACGACAAUUGAUUACUUCUAACCAGAAAAUACUCCUAGGUAGGACCAUAGGAAUUAAUUUCUCAAUUGCAUUAAGAAUUAGAAAAACCUAACUCCAAUCAAUAACACGCUACGAGGGUUAUUCAAAUCAGAUUGCACGUCCCCCUAGUGUGUAAAAACGCUAGUUGCCACUGAUAUUAAUCGAUUAAAUAAUUACGGAUUUAAUUGACUAAUUUGGCAGGAGAUUAAUAAGUCGCAUUGAACAUUGGGCCCUUGACAUUUAAUUAACUAAAUAAUCCCAUAGAAAUUCAAACAGACAACGUGCAAAUAUUAACAAAUUAAGAAACACAUGAAAAUUAAUUCGAUCUCACAGAUAUUCGGGACUGCGUCGUCGCGUUGAUUCUUGACUAGAUGAAAAGCUUAAUCACACCGCAUAAGUAAAUCUCCACGCAAAUUAAUUGAUUCACAAGCCAUCACAUUUGUCACUAGAUAAUCAAGAAGUAAACGAUGUUUCUCCAGUCGGGACUUUUGUCGAACAAGAGUCACGCAUGAAAAGGAAAAGAAAGAAAACUAAACUGUCUCUAAACAAUGACUAAUGCUCCCUCCGUCGUUCUUGCCGCAUUGAGAGAAAAGGUACAAAAAGAAAGCUCUGCCGAAUUCCUGGUAUUUCGUUUCCUCUUGGUAGGAGGACUCCUAGUCAGCAACUCUUCAUCAACAAAAGGAAAAGGGAGUCGUUGCUUAGUACCCUGUGGGCCAGAUUCGUGAAGCUUUUUGAAGUCUCCCACGUGUGGAGCAAUUUUCUCCAACAGGUCCCCCUUUUUAGCACUUUUCAGUUCCACUUCCUGUAGAUGGUCCAAAUACCAAAUAUAAGUAUAUAUUAACAAUUUAAAACAAUAUUUGGUAAGGACAAAAGGGAAAAUUAACAAUAAAAUUACUAACAAUUAACACCCUAUCAAUUCCCCCCAUACCUAAAUCAUGUUUGCCUUCAAGUAUGAGAACAACUAAACCCAACAAUGGUCAACUCUCACGUCAUCUAUUUUCAAGCUGUGUUUAUACCAAAAUCAAGGUUCAGUGGCCAAGUGUCAAGACACAAUCCUCUCGGUUAGCUCCUGAAAUCACAGACUCGUCUAAUUCAUGGCUAACUCAUCUAGAAAAUCAAAAUAUUAAACUAGCAAUAGUCAGGAAUUGGUCCAACUGGCGACCAAAAUCUCAACAUUGAAGAACAAGGAUCGGCAGGCCAACAUGAUCAUAAGCUUACAUAUUUUUCACAUCUGUUCUUUUUCUUUCUUCCUUUUUUUUCUUUUUCUUUUUUUUUCUUUGUUUUUCUUCUUUUUUGAACGAAUAAAUGCUUAGUCCCAAGCCAUUCAAGUCUUUUGACAUGAAUUCUAACAUUUUUAGAUGAAAGAGUUCAGUUACUCAACUUUUCACCGCUUCAAGACCACCUACUCAUAGAUAUCGCCACUGUUUUGACGCGAGAGUCGACACUUGUGGUGACGACUCCCGGUUACUGGGUGACGACACUAGCGAAGUAUAGCCAUAUGUUAUUCACAACAAAACACCAAAAUAUCAGACAAUUAAAGAACAUGGCCCACGUCAUCUCCUAAACAUGGAGAACUAAGGUCAACAGGGGACCAAUCCAUACAACAGUUGCCAGCAAAAUAUUUAUAUUGCCUAAACAAGUUAACCACAAUUCGCACAAAGUUAUUAAACUCACAGUAUUCACCAAGACAAUAUGCUCUUACUUGCCACCGAAGCUAAAUUUAUAGAAUAAAACACAUCUAGCAAUAGAAGAGUGAGUUGCCAAUCAAUUGUUGAUCACCAAGAUAAGCAGUACCAAAAACAAAAAAUAAAGAGACACCAGUUGAACCCCCCCACAACCGAAUGGUACAUUGCCCUCAAUGUAACAAAUAAACAGCAAAAACAAGAAGAAAGGCAACGAAACUUCCCUGAAGUCGGGGUCACAGCGGUGGGUGAGGCGGAAAUGGUGCUUGAUGAAGCGGCAGCGAGUGCAAGAGGCGGUGGCGGCGCUUGGCAGUCGUGCGCGAGGAGGUGGCAAAGGGAAAAAGCAGCGGCGAUAAAGGAGGGUUUCGGCCGAAAUAGAAAAGGGAGAAGGAGAAGCAGGGCAAAAGAGGAAGAAAAGGGAAAGAAAGAAAGAAAAGAAAAAAAGAAAGAAAAAAAGAAAAAUAGUUUUUUGGGGUUUUCUCUCUUUUUUUUUUAAGUCAAAAUUUAAAAUUUGGUAUUUGAAAAUCGAAAUUCUGAGUUGAACGGGAAAUAUUUUUAAUUUUCAAUUUUUUAAUUUUUAAUUUUAAUUUUUUAAUUUUAAUUUUUUUUUAGGAUCUUGGGUCGUCAAAUAUGACGUGGGCACGCCAAAAUUAUAAAACGUCCAUUGACCUUGGGAGUCACUUUUUGCAACUUAACGCGUGCCCUCCUCGCGUAGGCACGCCAAGAUUCCAUUUCCUGCUGACGUCGCGAGAUGUUGAGAUUUUACCAACAUGGCGUGGGCACGCCAAGAUUGAUAAACGUCCACUGACCUUGGGAGUCACUUUUUGCGUGCCCUCCUCGCGUGGGCACGCCAAGAUUCCCUGUCCUGGUCACAGUGGGAAAAAAUAUGAAAAUUGACUAGUAGCCAAAUGAGAAACGACAAAUCGAAAGAAUUAAACAACAAAACAAAAAAAAAUAACAAAACAAAUAUUUGGAUUGCCUCCCAAAAAGCGCCUUUCUUUAACGCCUUUGGCUAGACGUUAAACAUCACUUCAAUUUGGAUGUAAUUCAAUUUUCGUUGUAAUUUGUGGCCUUCCUCCGGGAUCCAAAUAGCCAUUGAGUGUAACUUUUUUCCUUAAUUUUUUACUCAUUUUCACCUCAUGAAUUGCUUUCAUCCCAUGAUACUUGUUCGCAGCAACUUUAAAUUUACCCCUACAAGUAAAUUCAGAAAAUUCUUGCACAGAGGGAUUAGUAGCAUGCAUAGCGAACACAGAGUGAGAGUUUAUAGGAUGUUUCAUUGUAUCAAAAAUAUUAAAAUGGACUAUUUCUCCAUCAAAUUUCAUUGUAAGAGUACCCUUACUAACAUCAAUCUUAGUUUCGGCAGUACUCAAGAAUGACCUUCCUAAUAUAAUGGGUGAUGGAUUUGGGGCACUUUCAUCAUCCAUGUAAAGCAUAUAAAAAUCAGCAAGAAAAAUUAAUCCAUCUACUUGCACUAAAACAUCCUCAACUACCCCAUCCGGGUAAGCAAAUGUACGAUCAGCCAAUUGAAUUAUUAUCCCUAUUUCUUUCAAAGGUCCUAAAUUUAGAGAAUCAUAGAUUGAUUUAGGCAUUACAUUAAUAGAAGCUCCUAAAUCUAGCAUGGCAUUUUUUAUAUUAGAAUGUCCAAUCUUACAGGGGAUAGUAAACAUACCUGGAUCCCCAUAUUUAGGUGGUAGUUUCCUUUGUAGAAACGCUGAAACGUUCUCACCUACCACAAUAUGCUCAUCCCCCCUCAUCUUCUUCUUGUUGAUACACAAGUUUUUCAAGCAUUUAGCAUAUUUUGGCACUUGCUUGAUCGCGUUCAACAAAGGGAUAUUGAUUGCCACCUUUUGAAACACUUCUAGAAUCUCAUUUUCCUUAUCUUGCUUCUUCGAUUUCUCCAACCUGCUAGGAAAAAGCGGUGGGUUAGUUUUAACUAUAAUGAAUGGGUCCAGGAGUACCUUUGGAUCCUUGUUGCUUCUGCCCUGCUCUUCAAACUCUUUCUCAAUUCGUUCCUCAUCCUUGUCCUUAGGAAUCACGAGCUCGGGUCCUUGGAUUUGCUUUCCACUCCUCAAGGUCAUUGCGCUCACAUUCUUCAAGUUCAGUUCAGGUUGAGACGGCAAUUUUCCAUAAGUUUGAGAUUCCAGGUAGUUGAUUGCUAUUGCCAUCUGACUCAUCUGACUCAUCUGACUCUACAUUACUUGCACCUGUCCCAGUUGAUUCCUCAUAUUUUAUAGGUCAGAAUCCGUCUUUUACUGAUUAGCAAUUAAUUGCUUCAUCAUCUCUUCCAUAGACGGGCUUGAGUUUGAAGGGGGUGGUGGCAGGCGAGAUUGAUACUGUUGUUAGUACCCUUGUUAUCUAUUUGGUGCAAAAUUCGACUGCCUAUUUCCUCCAUAACUAAAGUUAGGAUGAUCUCUCCAACCCGAAUUGUACGUAUUGGAGUAUGGGUCGUAUGGCUGUCUUGGCGCGGGCGCGUGACCAGCCAUGUUCACUUGUUCCUCACUUUCUUCCUGAACCAAUGGACACAUCUCUGUAGAGUGACCCAAGGUAGCGCAUAUCCCACAUACCUUGGCUUGUGAGGCACUUUCCACAGCUAGUUAUCGCACGAAAGACGUCAAUUCAGAGAUUUGUUGUUGGAUGGAGGAUGUUUCUACCUCAUUCAUCGUACGCGUCGGGGUGUCCUCUCUUGAACUGAACUGCUGUGAAUUCUCAGCCAUCCCUUCAAUCAACUCCUAUGCUUCUCGAGGAGUCUUGUUCACCAAUGCUCCUCCACUCGCAGCAUCGAUUAUACUUCUGUUCCUGAAGAGUAAUCCCUCAGAGAAAUAUUGGAUGAGCAGUUGCUCACUUAUCUGAUGCUGAGGGCAUUUGAUGCACAACUUUUUAAACCUCUCCCAGUACUCAUAGAGGGACUCGUCUGGGUGUUGUUUGAUACCGCAUAUCUCCUUCCUCAGACUUGCAGCUCGAGACGCAGGAAAAUAUUUGUCCAAGAAUUUUUUCUUCAAUUGGUCCCACGUGGUAAUAUUACCUGGUGGUAGGUAGUACAACCAGUCUUUUGCAGAGUCCUUCAAGGAGAAGGGGAAGACCCUCAUUUUUAUCUGCUCUUCUGUGAUUCCCGGGGGUUUCAUACUGUUACAAACGACGUCGAAUUCUUGCAAGUGCUUAUAGGGCUCCUCUCCUGGUAGACCAUGGAAAGAUGGCAAGAGGUGAAUUAGAUCAGAUUUUAGUUCAAAGGGAGUGUUAUCAUUCAAACUUGGGAAAGUAAUGCAUAAAGGUUGCUGAUUUAAAUUAGGAGCAGCGAACUCCCUUAAUGUUCGUGCAUUAGUCAUAGUGACUUUCUCUUGAUCCGAGUCACUCGAAGUGUCACCAAACGAAUCUGUUGGUUCAACUUCUAGCUCAGGUCUCUGAAAUGUAUCACUGAAGUGCUCUUCUCUGAGUUGUCUGGUCUCUUUCCUUGUUCUACGCACAGUCUUCUCUACCUCGGGGUCGAAAAUUAAUUCACCUGUACAAGAAGAACGAGGCAUACACUUGAAAAGAAUUAAAAAUUAGAAAAAAAUGAACUUAAAAAGAAGCAAAUAACUGACGCCAAUCCCCAGUAACGGCACCAAAAAUUGACAGGUGCCAAACCUGUUCAAUAAUAAAAUAAAUAAACUAACUACCAUUAACGCAGUCAAUAAUCAAUUCUAGAUACUGGAGCAGGGACUCUAGGUGUGCAAUGGAUUACUUGAUUCCUGUUCCCGAAGAGUUUGCUUAAUCCGAUAUACCAGAAUUAAUUAGUUGACAAAAUUUAUUAACUAAUAGACAGUGGCAAGCAGGGUCGUCUCCUCAGGGACUGAGGAUAUUUGUCUCUUUGAAGUUCCAAUUGGUAAAAAGGGGGGUUUUAUCGGAAUAAAACUAAAAAUAUUUAAGCAAUUCAACUAAAAACAAAUAAUUAACUAGCACGAAUGUAGAAAGGAAUUAAAUCAAGAAUAGAUAAAUUCUAACCAAGAAUACAACUAUUCAGACACAGUCCAUUCAUCCAAUCAUUGAUGCAAGGGAUGUUCACUUAAUUUAUUAAUAGGUUAGUUAUAGUCGCCAACGAGAGUUCUGACGACCAAUUUUUCCUUAAUUUAUUGAUAAUCAAGGUACGACCAUUGAUUACUGCUAACCAGAAAAUACUCCUAGGUACGACCAUAGAAAUUAAUUCUCCAAUUGCAUUAAGAACUAGAAAAACCUAAUCCCAAUCAAUAACACGCUACGAGGGUUAUUCAAAUCAGAUUGCGCGUCCCCUUAGUGUGUAAAAAUGCUAGUUGCCACUGAUAUUAAUCGAUUAAAUAAUUACGGAUUUAAUUGACUAAUUUGGCAGGCGAUUAAUAAGUCGCAUUGAACAUCGGGCCCUUGACAUUCAAUUAACUAAAUAAUCCCAUAGAAAUUCAAACAGACAACGUGCAAAUAUUAACAAAUUAAGGAACACAUGAAAAUUAAUUCGAUCUCACAGAUAUUCGAGACUGCGUCGUCGCGUUGAUCCUUAACUAGAUGAAAAGCUUAAUCACGCCGCAUAAGUAAAUCUCCACGCAAAUUAAUUGAUUCACAAGGCAUCACGUUUGUCACUAGAUAAUCAAGAAGUAAACGAUGUUUCUCCAAUCGGGACUUUUGUCGAAAAAGAGUCACGCAUGAAAAGGAAAGAAAGAAAACUAAACUGUCUCUAAACAAUGACUAAUGCUCCCUCCGUCGUUCCUGCCGCAUUGAGAGAAAAGGUACAAAAAGAAAGCUCUGCCGAAUUCCUGGUAUUUCGUUUCCUCUUGGUAGGAGGACUCCUAGUCAGCAACUCUUCAUCAACAAAAGGAAAAGGGAGUCCGUUGCUUAGUACCCUGUGAGCCAGAUUCGUGAAGCUUUUUGAAGUCUCCCACGUGUGGAGCAAUUUUCUCCAACAGGUCCCCCUUUUUAGCAUUUUUCAAUUCCACUUCCUGUAGAUGGUCAAAAUAUCAAAUAUAAGUAUAUAUUAACAAUUUAAAACAAUAUUUGGUAAGGACAAAAGGAAAAAUUAAUAAUAAAAUUACUAACAAUUAACACCCUAUCAACGCUUCGUCUUCCCGCUCUGGUGGCCUAUAAAUAGGCUCCACUAGAUGUCACUUUCACGCUUUCUUCCUCAUUUUCUCAGCUCCCCAUCUUUUACUCAGCUCGCUCAUCUCCUCCUCCUACGAGAGUUAGUUCGGGCGUCCUGUCAAGAGUUCAGUCGUGCACUGCUGUCCGUGCGUCUCCCCUAAGCACCACUGAGCGCUCGAGCUCUUUUCCCCUACUCUUACUAGUAAGUUCCUUUUCUCCCUCCUUUUAUAUCUUCUUCCUCUGAGCAUUCUGACAUAACUAGUUCGGCCCCUAGGCGUAGAGUAGCCCGACCUGUACCCAUAAAGGUCAUCUCUUCCUCUCCUUCUCCUUCCAGUUCUUCACCUUCCAGCUCGUUAGAGUCAGAAUAUAUUCCUUCCCCUGCUCUUUCUCCUGUUCGAGCAAUGGCUCAACCCGAACAGCCUAUUCAGCCGAACAACCUAUUCAGCUUGCAGCUAGAACUGCUGCCAAGCAGUUCCACUUGAGGCAACUCCUCUACGAGCUAGGGCAGGGCCCUCCAGGGGGCCCGAUAUUGACUUCGGUGAAGUGGAUCUUAUCCCUCCCAUCCUGGAUCAGGGGGAUGUGGACGAAUAACCCAGCUCAUCCCUCCCAAAGGGGACUAGUGUUGUGGGGCCAAUCCGCAGGAUCGGGAUCGGGACGAUAAGGUUGUCAUGUAAUUGAUGCGACUGCCGAGAGCGCGUUCCGAGCUGAGCUGCGCUGGGCUGAAUGAACUGAGGAUGACCGAACUGGUACUAGCGGGGUGAGCGAGCUGACCUGCAAGAAAGACCAACGGCGGGACUGGUUCCCUGGUGUAGCUCCGACGGUCAAGUCAGUAAGAGUUUAAGAGUAGGGUAACAGCGUAGAUACUGUUGAUGGCGUACCUUGUUUUGUCUUGUGGUAGUGUAUUUAUAAGAUCCCGGGUAGUAGUUUCCCUAUAGGAUUAGGAGUCCGGCUAGAAAGGGAGUCUUUCUAGGGUUUUGUCUGCUAACUCCGAAAGGGUCGUGGGCUGCGGUCCACCAGGCCCAUCCAGUUGGGAGGCGGUGGCCAUGCGCGAACUGUCCUCCCUCCUGCCCGAGUUGUCUAGCCAAAUUGCCAGGUCACAAUGUUCGAACUGACACAUGGCUCCUGCGGAUUGGCCCCACUACAGCUUUCUUAAACUUUUUUCUCAUUUCUUUCCAAUUUGGAAGGAAAAAUUUUGGCUACUAUUCAUGCUCUUAAAUUCUUCCACUUCCUUUCUUUUCUUUCCUACUAAAAACUAACAAAUGAAGGAAAAUUUAACUUUUUCUUCUUUCCAUUUCUUUUCUGUCCAAAUCCUCCACUCCCAAACGAGCCCUUAGAUUUAUAUAAUAAAUAUACAGUGUGCUUUUGAUUUAAAAAGUGAAAUCCUUUUUUUUCUAUUAGUGUUUAAUUUGAAAUAAAUCUUAAAUUUUUGUUAGAGAUAAUCAAUAUAAAGUAUUUUUUUGGAGUAAAUGUAGAAUAAGUGAGGAAUAUAUAAAACUUCAAAAGAUAACCUAUAUAAAGAAGGGAAUUUUCUUAAAUUUGACUUACAAAUGAAAGAGAGAAUUUUAUAAAAUUCAGGGGUGCAAACAUGGUAUAAACUUAAAAAUUUUGAAAAAUUUGAAGGCCGUUGUACAAUUUUAUCAAAAUUGAGGGGGCCGGGGAGGGAGGGCAAUUGUCUACUCCUCAAUCCUAUGUGGCUGGAAUACUUAUCAAUGGAAUAGAUAGUAUAAUAAGAUUUUAACAGCAAAAAUUGUAGAAAAAGGGAUUCUUUGCCGAACUAUUCGACCCAUAAUCUGAAGCAUGUAGUGUUUUGGAGCAAGGGGGUAAGGUGGGAUCAACUCCAUGGCUCAGAGAGGCAAAGUGCCAUUCAUCGCCUAAUAGAUAAAUCCUUCUCUCAGUUAAAAGCCACACUGGUUUGCAACUAUCAAUUUGAAAAAAGAAAGCUAAUUUAAGAGGCAAUAUUUUAAGUUGUUUAAGGAAUAAAAAUGUUGAAAAAGCAUGAACUCAACUUUGGCCUACAAUAGGUUUUUUUUCUGUCUCAACAAUUCUUUUCUUAAUAUUCUUUUUAACUUUAGUGCUGUCAAUUUACUUCAUGGCCCAAAGGCAAAAAAACAAAGACUAGUGAUUGACACAAGAACAAUCUUUAAUGCAAAUUUCAAACUCAUUAAGAAAUGAGAGUGUGAAAUAAACAUUCAACGCGAAGCAUCUAAGCUGGAUCGCAGGCUGGAUGACAUUGAAAUUGUGGUGAAGAUAAGUUUUCAAAGUCUCUUUCAUUUCAGCUUACCUGUUCAUUGAUAGUUUCAUGCUUUAUGAUAAAAUUUUUUUCUUGAGCACUUUAUGAAAAGAAUAUUUAACUCAGUUUGCUCACUAACUAAUGAUUACACAAGCACUCAACUUCCGCACAUUUGCACGGGCUUAAUCUUGUAUUCUUUCUUUUUUUUUUAAUAAAAAUAUUAUUAUUUUAUUAAAUCUAUACUAGUGACAAAAAUUAUAUAAAUAAUAUACGGAUACAAACAGAUCUAAAUAGCAAGUGCUAAAUGUUACAGAUCUGAAAAAUUAAUAGAAUAUUAUACAGUGGAACUCACAAAAAUCAAAUGAUAAAACAUUUAUUGCUAAGAUUAUCUAUGCAUGCUUCCAAUUGUACGGUUUACUUCUUCCAGAUGGUAGGGUGAAAUCUGAGGGAUACAUUUAAAAAUUUUCAAAUCUGGCAAUCAACUUCGAAAAAACAAAAAAGAUCUAACACAAGAAAUAGAAAAACUACAAAAAGUCUCACCAGGAAUCCCACAAAAUCACGAUCGCCAUCUUUACAGCAGCCAUCGUCAACCAUUUGAUCUUCAAUUUUACCGUCUUUGGAACAAAAUUUUUCAUUAGAUUUCAUCAUAUAGCCCAAUCUUGCAGUUCAUCGUCACUGUGCCAGCACUGAAGUAAGCCCUCUUUUCCAAAUUUUCUUUUUUUGUAACUUGAAAUUUGUGUGAAUUAAUAUGCGCAACCUAUGGAUGUUUGGAUCUUUCAUAUUAUUAGUCUCCUCGAAUUUGUUCCUUUGUUCAUUCGUAUGCAAUUUUUUAAUCACAUAUUCUGUUUACCUGAGGAAGUCUGAAUUGUGAUGAAUUUUGUAUUGAUUCAAUAUCAAAUUUGAUUAAAGGGAAAAAGAAACUGCCCUACGAUCAUAGCAUGUAAGCAUGAUGGAAAAAUGCCUAAACUAAAUACAUUGUUGUUCACUGUUUUUUUUUCUUUGGUGUAAUUGGAUAUUGAAACGGUUGAAGAAAGGGAAAGGAAAAUUUAGGAUUGAAUUGGGGUGUUGGCACUUGCAAUUGAUCUGCAGGUGUUUUUUGUUUUCUUACAGUUGAUCAUGACGGAUUAUUAUGGACGAGUUCCAUGGGAAUUAUCAUCAGUUACAAAAAGAAAAUAAACGGGAAGUGCUUCAUAGAAUGGUAUCCUGAGAUAGUGAUUGUGAAAUCAGUAGCCAUCGCAAGUGGAUUGUCAAAAUUAAAGAUGUAAAGACAUAUAAGACUGCAGCUGGAUUGUGAUGGCUAAUCUUAUCCUAUGUAGUGAAACUUCUUGAUCUAUGAAACUCAUGUACAACAUGAGAUAUAUGUACACCAGUUAAUUUAUUUGGGUCUUUACAAGUAAAUUUUCACUUCAGAUUUAUUGUAGUGUUAUUUGAAACCAUGAAAACAGCAGAGAGAAGUUGAUCAUGAAAAAAACUACUAUAGCUGACAAGAUUGGCGUUAUUUGGAUUGUCGGUUUUCACUUAAAAAUUUUGAAGUAUUUUCUCAAUAUAUUUUUCAAUCACUUUUUUAACUCACAUACAUCACAUUAUUAUAAUAUAUAUAUAUAUAUAUAUAUAUAUAUAUUUAACGAAACUCUAUAAACUUACAAUUCAAACUGUAACUUUUCAUUGUAGUGCGUCCUUUAAAGUGACUUUCAUUUUAGUCCGUCCAUUUUAAGUGAUUUUAGUGCGUCCACUUCAAUUCAUGCACAGGAAGGACCGGUCCCAGAAUUCUGUAGCAGGACAAUGAUUUAGCGUGGCCUGGAAAAUUCUAUGGAAACAAGGCAAGAAUGUCACCUUUGGGGUGUCCAAUAAUGUUAGUGUCAAUCAACCUCACUAUUAAAAGAAGAAAAGAUUGUUGAUAAAUCCAUACAUCAAAUCCGUAUUCAAUAUCUUUACUCGAAAUUGUGCUCCCCCAAGGAAGUACAAGUAAACUUUUACCCAUCAAAUUUGCAUAAACAAUUUUGUGGCCUAGAGAAAAGUUCAACCUAGGAUGUUCAAGUAUAAGAUAAACAUGAAUGAAGGGAGAAGGUUGAUUGAGGCCCUAUUCAUCCUCAAAUUUGAUUACAUAUUCCAAUCUAUUGCCACAAAAAAAAAAAAUCAUGCUCAGCAAAAAUUAUUUUAAAAUAUAUGAAUAUAUGUGAAAGAGGAAGAGAAUAAAUACACAAUAUAACUUAAUAGUUUUAUUAACUAAACUCAACAAUAAUGCUCACAAAUAACAAGUUCUGAGUACUUCUAAUCUAAUUGGGUGUGUGUGUUUCUGUCUAUAAGAGAGAGGAGUAUCUCUCUCCCAACAUGAUAAAUGUUUAUAACUUGCUGAACUUUAAUAACCGGGACAUUAGGAAAUAUUUCUUUCCCGCAUCAACUUCGAAAUUCUUCUACUUACUAAACCAACAAAUAAAAAAACUUGCCACAUAAGUAAUUUAAUUUAAUAAUUAGGCUUGGUUUAAUUAUCUACACAACCAUUUGUCAGAUUUCUUGGGCAAUUACGUAGUCAACCCAACCUUGCUAACUGUCAGCGUAGAAGGACCUUAGAAAUUAAAUAACAGCUUAUCAUGCACUGCAUAAAAUACGUUUAUCUGUAGAGCUCGAGCUCGUAAUCAAUUUGUGAGUCACACUGAUCAAUUUGUGGGUCUUAGAGGUUUGAAGUUAAGAGGUAAUUCCGGCGAGAUUUGGAGUUGGGAAUUUUUUUUAUUUGUUUUCUUGCCUCCCAAGAUCUUAUUCUCCUUUAUUCCUUUGUUUGUUAUUACUUCUUUUUUUUUUUAAUGAGUUUUAAGAAGUUAUGGUGAUAGUGGUGGUUAAGAGGUUGAUGAUGAUAGUGGUGAUGGGAUGAUCAAGAGGUUGGUGUUGAUAGUGUGAUGUUCGGCUAAUGAAGACUGUGAGAUUUGGUAUGGAUUAUUACUUGAUUUCUAUUUCUUUUGAUGAAUUUUUAGAUAUUAAUUUGUGCUUUUUGAAGGGAUUUUGUCUGAGGAAUAUUUGUAGGGUUUAUGAAUUUGACUUUAUUCAGAAGAUGAAAAUAAAGGAAGGGUUAUUUUUGGAGGUUUGGUAAAUUUGAGGGUAAACAUGUAUAAUCUCUCUCUCUUUAUCAGAUUUAACUUAGUUUGUAAAUUGUGCAAAAAAUUAGAAGUUGAAGUAAUGGACUGCUAAAUUUAAAGUUUGGGAUGCAAGUUCCAAUUGCGAAAUUGUUGAGGGGUGCAAAUUACAAUUAACACUAUUUCUAUUUUAUUUUAUAUAUACAACUUGUUAAAGGACAACUAAGGAGGCAAUGGGGCGGGGUUGGGGUGGGGGACCCCAUCUCCGUCCGCUGCCCUACUGCCUACAAAUUCCCCCCCCCCGCGCCCAUCCCCAUCCCCCGCUUCUCCGGUGGCCUAAUAAAAAUUUAUUAUAUAAUUUUAUUAUAGUUAAAUUUUAGCAAAUAAUCAAGUACUAAAAUAUCAAUACAUCACCAAAUUAUUAUUCAUUGUAAUUUCACAAUUGAAACUUAUAAAAACAAUCAAACAAAAGUUAUUUGAAUACAAUCCAAUAGGAUGAAAUAAAUACAACUAAAGUAGUCAAGUUUCACUUUGGCACAAAUACAAUCACUAAUUCAUUAUUGUGCUUGUGCUUUUUUUGAGAAAAAAUGUUAUUGUAUUAAGUGUAAUUAGGGAUGUAGUAUAAAUGUAUUAGUAAAUUUAGUAUAACUGGUGGCUGUCAAACUACAAAAAUAAAAUUUAUAUUAGACCUACUACCAAAACUAAACAAGUAUAGUGGUAAGUAGGGUCGUCUCCUCAGGGAACCGGUAGAUUUAUCGCACACAGGUAAUUGGGGAAUUUUUGAAGAGAGAGAGAUAAGUGAAACAAAUUAAAGACAUAAGAUUACUAAAUAAACAAUCGCAAUAAAUGCAAUAACUCAAGAAUGAAAUAAACAAUUAAUUGACACAACCUAGUCAAGGAGAUAAUCUCGGCACCGGUUCACACAAUGAUUAUAGAUACCAGGAUAAUUCACACGUUCGCGAAUAAAUUGGUUCUAUCAAUUUAGCAACCGCCAAACUCCCAAUCUCUCCUUAAUUAUAUGGUAGUCCAAAGACGCUCUUAAACUACCCUAUUGUAAAUUAGAUAACCCCAGAGACACUCGAAGGAUUUAAUCUAAUCACAACUUUAGGAAUUAGAGAACCCAAUUCUAGUUAACAAACACACAUGCGGGUUCAUUUAAACUAGAUUAAUUAUUCCCACGACCCAGAUUAGAUUAGACUGCUUGCGAGGCAAUGAAAUUGUGCCAUUCGCCACUAAUUUAAAACAUUCAAGUGAUACGCACGCCUGUCCUAAUUGGCAAUAUAUUAUUUAGACAAUUGAACAACUGGCCAUAUUGAUCCAAUCAAUCCAAACAAUAACAGGCAAUUCAAACAAAGAAUAAUUAAAUACUCACAAACGCAGAAUUUAGAAUAAACAAAAUGAUCUCACAAUUAUUCAUGCUCCGGGCCUUGAUACUCCUCAACUAGAUAAAGAAAUUAGCCUUGCCGCAUAACGACGAAGCAAUUCAAAGUUUUCAUAGUAAUUUCGUUCAUGAAGAAAUCAAAAGUACGUCGGCUAGUUCUAACAAAGAUAAAAGCAAACGAGAAAAAGGUCCAAGUCAGAAGAUGAGAUCCCUAAUCUAUUGCAAUCUUCCUAUUUGUAGUGUCGCCGCCGCUUCCCCUUGCUUUUCGAAUUAGAAUUUGUUUCUCAAAAGGAUUUGCGUCCUUAUUUUCCUCCUUGAAUUGUUGCCAAAAGUCUUCUUUGAAAAGGCUUCCUAAUCCCACGCAGGUUCAAAAGGUGUCUCCAAAGAAUAGCGAAAGCUCCAGGGAUAACUGACGGUGGCUCCGUCUUUUUCACGCAGCUCUGCGUUAUCUGGCGUGGGCACCCAGAGAAUGCCUAGCCUUCUGGAAUUUGCCCUCCUCUUGUCACUUUUAACACACUCUCUCUGCAAAUAACACAAAUACCAAAUAUGGGCAGAAAUCCAGUGUCUUACACAUUAAGACCAAAUAACAGCGAAUAAAACACACAAUUAUCUCCCUAUCAAUAACCAAUUAAUAAUUUGUAUUAGUACAUAUAUAUAAUUAUUAGUAUAAUUGAUAAUAUCAAUUAUAUUACAUAUACUAAUAUACAUUAUAUAAUACAUAUAACUAAUAAUAUCAUUAUCAUAAGUUUGUAACUAAUUAAAUUAUAUAUUAUAUAUAUAAUUAUAUACAUAGAUAUAUUAUAUAUUUAUUUUUUUAAAGCGGGUGGCGGGGAGGAGAUAGGGCGGGGGUACACUCCCCUGUCUCCCACCCCAUUUCUAAGCCCCAGGGGUGGGGGGGGGGAAUUCCCCUCGGCCCCGUACCACCUCCCACCCCAUUAUCCCCCGCGGGACGGGUACCGGCGGCCACCCGCCCCAUUGCCAUCCUUAGGGACAACUGUCGUAUUAAGAGAAAUAUUUUAAAGGGAUAAUUUCAUAAACCUCCCCUGAGGUUUUUGAUAAUUUUAUGUGGCUCCCUUAAAGUUUCAAAAAUUACAUCUACCUCCCUUACCCAUUUAAAAUGACAAUACUAAUCUUAAUAUUUUAAUAAAACUCUCUUACUUCCAUGUUUAUAAAAAGGAUGGAUUUUACAAUUUUUUUUCUUUUUUCCUUCUUAUUCAUUUCUCUUAUAUUUCAUUAGAAGUAUAAAAGAACUAUCAAUGUUGUCGCUAAUAUCUAUCCAAAUCAAACUUUAAACUAGUAAUUUUUUUGAUGACUUUUAAUAUCAUCCAAUUUUUUGUAGCUCUUUUUUUUGUAUCAAAAUCAAGAAUAAAUCAACAAUAAUUAAAACACAAAUGGCCCAAAAUCACUACCAAACUAUGGUAGUUCUAUCACUAAACUAGUCCAUAAACUUUUAUUAAAAAAAUAGUCCAAAAAUUUCAAAAGCACAAGGUAACACUUUCUUGUCUAUCUUAAAAAGAAUCUAUAUUCCCAAUAAAGCACUAUAAAAAAUAGCUUAUCAUAGCAAAAGAUUUAUUGUUAUAGUUGAUUAUUAAAUAACAAAUAUUGACAUGAAAAACUUGGGACUCUUUUAUAUAUAUAUUAUAUAUAUAAUUGUGUCAAAUUACUUUACAAUUGUUUAAAAGAAUGAAUUGAACUUUAUAAUUAUCAUCAAACUUUGGCAAUCAACCUUUCCUUACUUUAUCGAUAAUCAGAGUAUGGUCACUAACUACUUCUCUGACUAAAAGAUAACCCAAGGUACAACCAUAGGAUUAAAUCUUUUAACAGCACCAAGAAUUAAAAAAACCUAAUUCUAAUCAACAAACAUGUUGCAAGAGUUCAUCUAAAUUAUAUCAUAUAUUUCCUGACAUAGACCCAAUUAUGCUAGUCAACACAAAUAUUAAAACAGACAAACAAUUACAAAUUUAAUUAUUUCAAUUGACAGUAGACUAUUGUGAAUAAUCAAAUAUUGGCCACUUAUUUAAUUACACACAAUAAUCAUCAUACACGUAAUACAGGAGAUAUACAAAUACCCACGAAUAGAUGAAACAGUAAACUUAAAUUAGAUAUCAUAAUUGUUUGUAGAACCAAGUUUUUGAUUAUCCUCUAAUUAGAAAGAAAAUUUAGCCACUUCUUAUGGAGAAAUGCAGCCAAGAAAAUUAGGUUUUUGUCUUGAGAGAAGAAAAAAGAUAAACCACCUAACUACGAUGACAAAGUGUAGAGAGAGUUGGGAAUUAGAUAUCGAUAUUCUCACCCUAACAAUCUAUAUGAUAAUCUCCUAAAAAUUAUUCCAAUAAAAGGAAUUAUCUUCCAUACUGGAAUAAUCUAUUUUCGUAGAUAAUGAUAUAAUAAUAUCCUUACUAACUAGUUGCAUCCAAAAAUAAAGUUUUCAAGGCUGCAGAGAAUCAAUCAAUUAUUCUCUUUAAUUGUUGAAAUUAAUCUCAGGUCCCACAACUUCUGAAUUUCCUAGGCUCUUUAAGGCGUGCCCAUACUUUUAUAGCAAAUAGACUUUUCAGCAACUCUUUUUAGUCCUCUUUCAUCCCAAAUUCUUAUGACAUCACUAAAACACAAAAUAUAAGUAGAAUCCACAAAAUAACACAAUAAUCUACUAAAAUGAAAGGAGAAUUGACACAAACUAUAUCUCAAUUAGGCACACUAUCAUUUAGUGACACAUGAUGAUGUAAGUAAUAUUACAUUAUUAUGAUGAUAUAUGUGCUCUUGAGUAUGCACCACAUCGUCCAUGAGUGGUUCCGAAAAUCAAGUUUUUAAGAAGGUUUUAAAACUGGAAAUCUUACCGGGUCAUAGGUUAUUAGUUCAAUCGUUAGGCUACAUGCUGUGUUUUCAGACUCGGACCGGAUCGGCCGGUCGGACCGGUUGGACCGGGAACCGGCCAGGCAUCCGGUCCGAGUUAGUUAAAAAACUCGGAUGUUAUAAAAUCGGUCAAACCCGGUCCGGUGAACCGGAAAUUUUGAUUAACCCCGGUUUUUUUUUCUUUUUCGGCCUUUUUUUAGUCAGAGUUUGACAAAUCGGACAAAAUUGAAAAUUGACAAGGUCACAAAACUUGCGUCGGCUACUCUGCUGCUUCUCUUCUCAUACAUUUUCUUCCUUUCUUGACUUUCUUCUUCAGAUCUCCACCGCAUCUCUUGAGAUUCAUCGAUCAUCCUUCAAUCUCUAGCCUCCACCGCCGCAACAGCCACCAGUUCCUUCAGAUUUCAAGACAAUCAAGUAAUUAGCAUGCGGGUGAACUGAAGCUUUGUUUGGUAAUUUUUACAAUCUGAAGGUUAUUAUUGCUGAUUCGUUAUGCUAAAGUUGAUAUGUGACUGGAAUUUUUUGAUUCAUUAUGCUGGACAUUUGGGAUUUGGAUAUUACGGGUGUGACUGAGAAGCUGGAGUGUUUAAUUAUAUUUGGGAUUUGGGAUUGGAAUAGUGGGGUCAGGGGAUCAGGGAAAACGGCUCUUACACGGAAGGUGUUUGAUAUUUUGCCUGUGAGGAGGAUGUUCUCACCGAGGAUUUGGGUUUCUUAUAUGAUACCCUUCAUGAUGAACCGGUGAGCGUAGACUUGAGAGUGAAGAUAUUGAGGAAAAUGCUAGAGGCAGUCUGGUUGUGAUGUCUCGGAAAUGAUGACUACCUAUGUUGACAUUCCCAAGCUCACUCAGAAGCUUUACCAACGGUUAAUGGGCAAGAAACUGAGUUCUCACUUCUGGUCUAUCUUCGCUUGGAUGUUCAAAGUUCCAUGCAGCCAUCAAUGUAAAUUUCUGUGAUAUUUGUCUCUAAGCAAUGAAAACUUAUUUUGUCUUUUGUCUUAAAAAAAAAAGAUUGAUAUUUAUCAAGCAUUUGAACAUGAACUUGCUACCUUAUUUGGAUUGCUAUUUUUUAAGGAUUAAACAUGUAUGGGAUUUCUAUUUUAUAAAUUUUGUGAGUUUGGAUGAAUUUGGUUAUAUUUUGUAAAUUUGAUUUGCAGGUAUAUAUAUAUAUAUAUAUAUAUAUAUAUAUAUAUAUAUAUAUAUAUGAGGUAUAUAUGAUGUCAUCCGGGUCGACCCCCUAUCGACCCCCGUCGAAUCCAUUGACCCCACGACCUGACCUCGACCGAGUCGAGUCCUGGUCCGAGUCUGAAAACAUAGGCUAAAUGUUACCAAGUCAUUGUUAAUCUGUGACAUCAUAUAUAUCAUAAAUAAUUAAUGUCAAAAAUCGUUCAAUACGUCCCUUAUAUUUUGCUAAAUGAUUUUUUUGGUCCUUCGCUUUUAAAAUGUUAAUUUUAUAUCUAUUACAAAUUCAAGUUAGCAAAAUUUGGUUCCAAUCUAAAUUUUUGACUACUUUUUAGCCUAAGAUCGCCAUGUGACCUAUAUGCAAUCAUUUUUUAUGUAAAAAAAAAAUGUCAAAUACCACUUUUUUAGUGAUAAAAAUAAAUAUGGAUUGGGUCAAAUUCCAUUUUUGUUUUAAAAAAAUGAAUAUGAUUUGGAUUAGAUCAUACUUUUUAAAGUAAAAAUGAAUAUGGAUCGAAUAAUUUAUUUAACUACAAAUGGGAUGUAACCACUGUUUAAUACUAACAACUGUUAAGUGGAUAGGAACACGAAUAGUAAGAAAUUUUGGAUUUUGUAAACAAUUUUGAGCAAAAUUAUAAUUUUUUAAAGGUGAAAUGAUAGAAACUUAAAUAUGAGGUAACAUUGAAAUCUAAAAGUAAGUAUGAGGGCUAAAUGGUAAAAUGUCAAAAAGUAUAGUGCGUUAAUCGUUUCCUAUAAUUAUAUAUGCUAAUGUGGGGCCACAUUUUUUUUUUUUAAAAAAGAAAAGCAAGACUCAAAACGGUUUAGUAAAAACACGUCGACGGUUCGUUGGUCCGACCAAACGAUCUAGUUGGUUUUUACUAUCUAGACCGAUUUUUUGAUCCGUCUUAGUUUGAGACUUGGUUUAGUUCAGAAAGCUACUCGAUCAAUAGUUCAAUCAGUUCGCUCAAACAGUCAAAACUGAGUUUUAUAAUAUUAGUUUUUAUUUAAAUAUUUUCAAUACCCAUUUAUAAGAUUAUGGCAUUUGUAAGUUCUCCAAGAACCAAAAAUAAAAAGAUAUUUGUGCUAUAGUUGAAAUGAUGAGUGAAGAAAUUUACUGAUGCUGUCAAUAAUGUAUCGACGGGAUACUUAAGCAACGAAUAAUACUUUUCUUUGGGUAAACUAUCAAGUAUUAUUGAUGAAGCACAUAUUACACGAACCUCCAGGGGGAUGGCCACUAUUUGGCCCGUCUUCAAUUCGCCACACAAGUAGCUGGACUCAUCUAUAAAAGGGUCAAUCUUUGGGCAACCAAAUGCACGCCAAACCCAAAAAUACACACGAAAGCAAGCCUGCAAAAACAACAGAGAGGAAAAAAUGGCUCCCUGUUUUAGAGCACUAGUCAUAGCAAUAACAUCGCUGUUGAUGAUAUCUUCAGUGAUCAGGUCUUCCGAUGCUGCUGGAAUUGCCACCUACUGGGCCAAAACACCGACGAAGGAAGCCUGGAAGACGCAUGCCGGAGAGGUACCUAUGACUACGUGAAUCUUGCCUUUCUGAUAAAUUAUGGCAAUGGCCAGACACCAGAAUUGAACUUAGCUGGGCAUUGUGAGCCAAGCGCUUGCUCCUCGCUUAGUUCUGAGAUAAAAGCUUGCCAGAAACGAGGCAUCCAAGUGCUUCUUUCUCUCGGUGGAGCUCCAAACCUUUCUUCACGCGAUGAUGCUAAGGAAGUCGCGUCCUAUCUCUAUAAUAAUUUCCUUGGCGGUGAAUCAGAAAAUCGUCCAUUAGGCGAUGCUGUCUUAGACGGUAUAGACUUUCAUAUCCAAG
rnacentral:lncRNA from 1 species